GCGGAACGAGUGGGCGCUCAUGUGGGCAGUGUUCAAACACCCCGUCACCGUAGGGGUCGACGCCAACAGCACGGCCUUCAUACAUUACCGCCGCGGCCUCUUCGACGGGCCCUGCAACACCACUCUCGGGCAUGCCAUGACCCUCGUUGGCUACGGCACUACCGGGCACAACGACCAUUACGGUGAGCCAGCGGGAGUCGACUUUUGGCUCCUCAAAAAUUCCUGGUGACGGCGUGGGGCGAAGCCGGCUAUAUGCGGCUCCGGCGCGGCGCCGAGGCCAAGGGUAGGGUCUGCGGGGUAAUGCUCGAGGCGACUUAUCCGGUCCGUUCCUAUAGGCUAUUUUAAUUAGAGGAACAAUGUGCCUAUAUAUGAGCUUUAACCAGUAGUUAGUGAUGAAAUGGAAUAAAUUAAAGCAAGCCAGUGGUUGGUUGUAAACAGGGACAGAAUAUAAGUUGGCAGUAAGAGAUUCGAGCCGCCGACUGACCGGAUCCCAUGAGAUCAUGCGCUGCUCUAUCCUUGUUUUUCUUUGCCUUCAUUGUUCUCGUCUCCACCCCUAGUUCCUAUCCAUAAGCCACCGCUUCUUUAUUUUAUGUUUUUCACUAUGCGCUGCUCCCUGUCAUCGCGAACGCUCCAUUCCCCGAUCUCCCCCGCGACUCACCUUCUCUUCCCUCACCACGACCCAUGAGGCACAGGGGUGCGACACUGCUACUGCAAAUGUACCACCGUUGCUGGCUGCUAGGGCGAGCCACCACAUGUGAAGAAACCGACAACAGAUACCAACGCCUCCUUCUCUGCCUCUCCCCUCUCCCACCCACCACAUAAUGUAACGGCACAGGCGAGCUAACGAUGCCCACGACGGGUUUUCCACACGUGCUACGACAACAGCAGAGCGCUUGCGAUGAGUCGAGGAGCUUAGGCAAGUGGUGCAUCAAGCAUGGAGCGACCGUGCGCAUGAGGUGGAACGACCAGCAUAGGGUCAAUCCAACGGCACGCAGCGGGGCGAUCUGGCCUUCUGGCCAAUAGGAAAACUGUUUGUCAAGUACCCAACAACUAGAACUUGGGAACCUGCCCUUUGCCUGAAGGGUGUGGACCGGGUACCCUAAGUCGACAGCUGAAUUCAGAUAAUGUUCAUGUUUUUCUGUUGGAGUUUCGCACAGGACAACCAAUAGUAGGCUGGCCCAUUUUCUUUGUUUCUGUUUUUUACUUGUAUUUUGUUCUCCUUUCCCUAUCUCUUUCUUCCCUUCCAAGUUUAUUUUUCUUUUAGAAUUUAUUUCUUAAUUUAAAAACUCUCAAAAAAUUCAAACUUAAGAAAAACAAUUUUUUGGAAAUGUUAAGAAUUCCUAAUUUUUUUGCUAUUUUGAAAAAUAUGUGGAACCUGCAAAAAACUUUGCGUUAAAAACAAUUAUUGUUUUGAAUUUUUUUUCGAGAUGUGUUAAAUGAAAAUGGCAUUUUAAAAAUGCUUUAAAUUCGAAUAAUAUUCCUUUUGAGUGAAAUUUGCACAAUUAAAAAUUAUGCUUUGUAUAAAAGAUACACAUUUUCUAAAAAUCUUAUGAAUUUUUAACACAUAUUCCCGUUUUUAAAAAAUGUUCACAAAGUCAAAUAAUGUUAAUAUUUUUUAUAAAAAACGUUGGUAUUUUCAGAAAAUGUUUGUGAAUUCAAAAAGAUGUUCCCUUUCAUAUUUUUCGUGUUUUUUGAAGUGUACAUAAUUAAAAACAUUGUUCCGUAUUUAAAAAAUUGUUCAUGUCUCCUAGAAUAUUUAAGAAAUUCAUACCUUAAAAUCCCCUCGAUCGAAAGGAUUGAAAAGAAAAGUAGAUUGAAUAACUCAUGGGCCUUAUCUGACGUGCGGUGACGUAACAAAACUCUUAAAUACCCUCGAUUAAUGAAUGGAAAAAUAGCGGAUUGAUUCUUUCACACGUGGCGAAACCGAGAAGCUAAACGUUCUUUUUUUCGUGUGCACAUAAGAUUUUGCUUGCACAUAUAAUUGUCAUUGACUUUAAAUGCAUACUAUUUAUCUCCCGUUGCAAUGCACGGGCAUAUGUGCUAGUAAAUAUAAAAAAGGGAAGGAAACAUGUGCAGUCUCUCUAUUGGUCGAUAUCGAUGAACAUGGUCGGUUGCUUGAUUUGUCAUCACAUGCUUGUUUUCUUUAAAGUUGUAAAUUUUGAUACGGGGAACACUUAUAUUGAUAGUUUAUCGUCCCAACACAAAAGUAACAUUGUUAUAAAGGUGACAUCAUUUAUACCAAAUUCAACCAUAAUGUAGAAUACAUUUCUCGAUUUGCUAAUUAUAGUCACACGUGUUUCGGCAAAAACACAGUCAGUUUGUGGACUGACUGAUCUUCAUAGAUACUUUCUUUGUAUUUCCUAAAACAUAGUCACUUGUGUUUUGGCAAAAUGAAAUCAAUUUGUGGACUAUCUAAUGUGGCAAUUAGAGAAAUAUAGUAAGGGGCUAUAGUCUCGAAGAUAUGGCACAUUUGCCAGUGUAGAGACGAGAGAGAAGAAAAAUAGAGCAUUGAGAAGGCCAUGUGAUACAUCUGCUUCCGGAUAUUCCAGCAAAUGCACGCAGCCGCCUCCCAAAAAUAGGUCUAUAUGAAUGAAUUGUUUGCUUAGGGAAUCAUGCCACUAAUGAAGGGUCGAGAAGACUAGCAACUUCAUGCUAGCACCACUAAGAGCAAGUAUAAUAAGGUGAGGUAAGUGGGCUAUAAAGAUUUAUAGGAUAUAUUCUUACUGAGUUGGACAAGAGAGAAGAACAGAGAGAAGAGAAGCAGGUUGUUGAUUGACAUCUGGCUGGAAACUUUAUGAGAGUAUAAGAUGGACCAUAGUAAUAUAUAUUUAUAGCUAAUAUUAUAUGUGUUGACUACAAGAUCGACUAUAGAGGACAUGACAAUAACAAUAUAGCCAAUAGCCGGCUAUACAAUUAGCAAUGCUCUAAGCAAAGGGGCAUUCCAUGAAUACGCAAUUUCUUGUCUCCAAAGUGGAAGCUUGGCAUAGCAACACGGUCCCAGAGUUAAGUUGCCCAGUGCAUUGCUUGCGCUGCAUUUGGUCUUGAGUAAGCGAGCCAUGAACAAUAGCUACAUAAUGGUUUUUAUUUUUAGUUUUAUAGACAUUUACUUCGUCAAACUUCUUUGGAAUAACUUGGGAGUUGGAAGAUAAAAAAAAUUGAGUGUUGGGAUAGAAAAGUUUUGAAAUAAGAGCUUGUAGUAUUUGGAUGGAGAAUACUGCUGAGAUCCCCACGGAUAAGAACCAUGAUCCACCAUUGCUCUACAAUCAUGAUCCAUUCAUCUUGGUUGUGGGUUCACCACUAUGACGGUCAUGGCCACCAUCAAGUGGUAGAUCACUCGCCGUGCCCGACAUCUUGGGAAUUUUCAUCGCUUUUUCUCGGCAUCUGCUUCGACAUGUCUUGCUCGGGAGAAUUUUCAGCUUUGAUUAGUGGUUAUUUUCUUCUUGUAGAUAUUACUGCUCAUGGAGUCUUUUUUUAUAAGCAUUAUUACACAUUCACUCAUGUCCAAUUUGUAAUGAGAAAUCUUCACAGCUAAAUUUGAUCAUGAUGUUUUGCCAAGAAAAUAUAAAUUUGCUCAUGAUGUUUAGAUCAAAUUGUAAAUAUGCAAUAAGAACUCUUUUUUUUAGAACGAAGGCUCAAGAAGAGCCCGGCUUUGAAUUAACAAAUUCAUCAACCGGCCAAGAUUACAACGAACAAACAAAGUAAACAAAGAACAAAACAGCAAGCCGAUACAUGGUGCUGUAUAAAAGCCAUCAGGUACUACAAACUACUAGCAAAUAUAAGGAAACUAAAGCACAAGUCUAGCUAGAAGUCGAAGAAGCCCUCCACAGCGAGUAGAACAUCACGCAGGGCACCAGCAAAGCUUGGGGAAGAAACACAGUAGUUGGAGGAGCUCCGUUGUCAGCUCCACGGACUCUGGCCGUCGAUGUCGCCCUCCUCCACCUCAGAAGGGGGAUCCCUGCCCCCUCGCCCUGGCACGGAGGGCGCCGAUCCGUCGAAAGGUGGAGAUGCCCACCCGAGGGCUAAAGAGCGGCCGACGCCGUUGCCAACCGGAAGACCUCACCAGGACACCACCGCCAAACUACUUGGAGCUCAUCCAAGGAAAGCAUCGGCAAUCCAUGAUAUCUGCACAAGAGGAGAAGCAAGCUACACGGCAAGGCUGCUGAAGACCGAGCAACCCCCAACCGGAACAAGCACACUUCCCCAAAGCUCACCAAAGACGGCACCCCCUUGAGGGUGACGGCGCCCACGGCGUCGCUGCUGCCCAAUCCCGAGGGAUUUGGGUUUUCACCUGGUCCAUGAGCAACACGGGAGGAAGAGGAGGGGGAAAGGGGGCAUUUUUACCAGCGCCUACAGGUAGGGGACGGCGCCCAUGGGUGUCGCCGCCGGCAGGCCGGCAUAGCCAGCCACGGAUUUCUCCGGUCCCCUCUCCCAACCCCCACCUCGAGAGGAGACACGGCUACGGUGCCCGGAGGCCGCCGGAGAACGGAUCUGAGACGAGGGUGACAAGAGGUUGAAGAGGAAGAUGCCUUCAGAUCUGACGCAGGUGCCCCGAAGCCACCGCGCACCACAGCCAUCGCCCGCCGUCACCGCGCCGCCCGCACGGCCGAGAUGAGCGGCCAGCACCCGCUGCCGCCGUUUACUGAGGACGACGCAGCACCACCGCCCGAGGUCGCCACCUCGGUUCCGAGAUCCUCCACCGAGGCGGAGCGACCAGAUCCUCGCCGCCACCAUCCUUGGCGGCCGCGCGGCGCUCCGGCGACCCCCUCCGGCGGCGACGAGGGAGAGGAAAAGGGGAAGGGAGCCCCGGCGGCGGGCUAGGGUUUGAGCCGCCCGAGUCGCCCCUGCGGGAGCGACGCGGGGGCCUGGGGUGUUCGUACUGCAGCUUAUUUCCAGAAGACUCGCAAUAAGAACUCUUAAGCACUAAAGUCUGCCUGGUACCUGUUAUGUUUGUGUCCUCAAGAAAAUCCAUGUCUCGACGGAUAUGAUAGCCUGGUCAAGUUUAAAAAAUAAGGACCCCAAUGGUCAACGAUUGUUUCCAGGGAAGGGAUGACAAUUGCGAACGCUUUUGAUGGCAAUUUUAAUUGACGCGAUCAUGAUAAUUUUAGUUAGCGAGCAUGGCAACUACGUUGCAGUUCUAGUUUCUGUUAGAAAAUUGAAAUGCCAGCUAACUUAUAUUUCCAUCUUUGCCUAUGCUCGCGAAAAGUAAAGUUGCCAUCAAAACGUUUGCAAUUGCCCUCUUCCCAGGGAACUUUCGCUGGAUAAUAUUACCCAAAAACAAAGAGGAAAAAAAGAUGCAUAGAUCAAGGAGAGGGAUCGGCCUGGCCCAUGCGUCCAGUUUCUUUCCCUUGGACAUGCUGCAACAGGUCUAGGCCCUAUUAAAGAUUCUUUAAUUACUAGAUGCCGUUGUAGCAGGGCAGGAUGGCAGAAUAGCCUGGACAGGUACGGAACAUUACCACACUAUAUGCCCAGGCCAGGCGUUGGAAUUUUCCAAGUAAGGAGCCAAGGUACGAGCCAAAUUAGCCCUAGUUUGAGAGCUCCUGUUCUACGCAGUGCACGUUAAAAAAUGAGACCAACACAGAGCUAACCCUUAUUCGAUUUUUUUAUAGGAGAAAACUCCGUGAGCACCGCAUGCUAGAGCCGAGGCUCAAACGCGGGCGGGCUGACAGCCAGUCUAGCUGCCCAGCCAACGGCUCGACGCCCCGUUCUCUAUGCAGUGCACAUUGGAAACACUUGAAUGGUGCACCUGUCACACGACUUUUGGUUGGCGCAUUGUGGAAAGCCAGCUUACAUGGACAUGUUACGCUUUGGAUGUGUGUGUUGGCACAUCAACGGAUGAGAGGCCUCCACACGGGCACACGUGGACAUCUACUCUUCUUUUUUCCGAAUGUUCUUUUUUCCAUUUUUAUAUUAAUUUUUGAACGGCAUUCAAAAAAUGAUGAAGAGAACUCGAAAACGAACAAGACUUUGAAUUUUUUUGGGAAUUUGAAAUAUGUCGAACAAAUAAAAAAAAAUUAGAGAACUGAAAAAAUGUUCAGGGAUUUAAAAACCUAUACAAGAAUUUGAAAAAGUUCACUAAUCAGGAAAAUAUUGGCAUAUUUGAAUUCAACAAAAACAGUGAAUAGUAAGGAAAUGGUUGCGAAUUUGUAAAAACGUUCAUGAAUUUGAAAAGAUAAUCAUGAAUUGAAAACAACUGUUCACGGAGUUGAAAACAACGCUUGGGAAAUAGAACAUAUUAAAAUAGUUUUGAGAAAUUCGACUUUUUUCUUAUUUAAAGAAAAAUUCGCAAGGCUAAUGUUCGUAAAUUUGAAAAAAUAUGCGGGAAUUAAAAAAAUCACGAACUUCUUCCUUUUUGUUAAUUCAUAAAAUGUCCAUGGUAUAUUCUAAUUAUAAACAAAUAGUUUUAAAUUUUUUUGGGUGAAAUUCCAAAUGUAUUCAUGAAUUUAAAAAAUAUUGGUGGAAUCAAUAGUAUGGUUGCAAAAUUGAUGAAAUGUUGGCAAAUUAAAAUUCUUACGAAAGUAAAAAAAAGUUAUGAAUCCACAAAGUUUCUUGUGAAAUUGAUUUUUUUGUCAAUUGACAUAUUGUUCAUGAAUUUGAAAAACAUUAGCUAAAUGAAGAAGUGUUCACAAAUUUGAAAAAUCACAAAGAAGUUGAAUAAAUUUUUGGGCAGUCCAAUAAAUGUUUGCAAGUCUUUCAAGUGUUCAUGAAUAGGACACCAUGUUUGCAAAUUAAAAAAUAAAAAAUUAAGAAAGGUUUGCGAAUUAAUAUUUGUUCACGAUACUGAAAAAAUGUUCUUGGAUUCAGGAAAUGUUUAUGAAGUUGAAAUGUUUUUAAAAAAUGUGAAAACUAUUUUUGAACUAUAAAAUGUACAUGAAUCUGAAAAAUGAAAUAGAAAAAAUAGAAAAACAAAACAAAAAGGAAAGGAAAACACAAAAUAAAGGAAAAUUGGUCCAAAAACGGGACUCACUGGAUGGCUCUGGUUGGGUUGGCCGGUCAUUGCAUAGUGGGAUGUGCGGGGGUAAGUGGUAGCCAGCUAUCCAGCGACCUACGCACACUAUAGGAAUCAUACGCUAAUUCAGUUAGGGUUGGGCUGUCUUCGCUCGACAAAGGCCGGCGCAUGAGAGAGAGAGAGAGAGAGAGAUUUCUAUGAGAAAACCUGAGCCAGGCCCACCUCCACAAUACAGGCAGAUGACACGAGGUCCUGCACCGCACGAGCUAUGUCUCACCUACCAUCUUCAAGUAGGCAAUUGCUAGGUUGGGCCCCCUAAAUUUUUUUGCUAGGUUCGGUUGUCCCAAUGUAAUGGUUUUAGUGAGUUGUUUUUCACCUGUUUGUGGGAUGUUCCAUCCAUUUGAAAAGGUCUCAUGCAUUUUGUUUUCUUUUACAGUUUUCGUCCAGUUUUCAUUCUUUUUUGUUUUUAUUAUUUAUUAUUAUCCUUUUUUUCAAAUACAUGUUGAGCUUUUAAUAUAUCUUGUACAUUUUUUGCAUACACGCUGAACACUUGUUUCAUGUAUGAUGAAUUUUUUUCCAAAUACUUGUUAAACAUUUCUCAAAUACACGUUGAUAAUUUUUUAAAUACAUUGGAAUUACUUUUUCAAAUAAAUUUUGAAUUUUUUUAAAUUACAAGAUGACUCUUUUUUCACAUAUGCAUUGAGCAUUUUCUUAAUACACGUUGUUCAUUUUUCCAGUACUCGUCGGUCACUUUUUAACACAAGUUGAACAUUUUUCAAAUAUAUGAUGAAUGGUUUUUGAAAUAGACGUUUGAACAUUUUGCUGAACAUUUUUCAAUACAUGUGAAACAUUUUUCAGACACACAUUGAGCAUUUCUUCUAAAUACAUGAUGAACAUUUGUUCAUCUACAAGUUGAACAUCUUUCGAAUGUACAUUGUACAUUUUACGUAAUACAUUUUUCACAUACAUGUUUGAACAUUUUUUUCCUGAAUACGGGCUAAAAAAAUUAAAUAAAUGUUUCUUCAUGUAAAACAUUUUUUGAUGUAUAACACAUUUUUUUAAAACUUGCGUGGACAAUAUUUAUGCUACACGACCAUUUUGUAAAUGCAUGAUCUAUUAUAUUAUUAAGACGAUGGAAACAGACGGUAGGGAUUGAGCAAUAAAACGUUAAGAUGUAUCAACGAUGAAGAUUUAUCAGCAUGCCUAUAGAAUCCAUGUGCAAGAAUAAAUCACAUAUAUGUAUUUGUACAAGGCAACAUGUAUUUCACCUAGACAGGACGAUUGAUUAGUUUCCAUCUAGAAGCAGAGAUGGACAGGGGCAAAAAUCCAUGCGGUUGAAAGAAAACUUAGCGAUCUAGGUCACAUACAAUGGGAGAAAAAAAUACAUGCAAGUCUUUUUCCAAAUAAAAACACAAUGAUAAAUCCCGAAUGUUCAGAACUUAAGCAUGGCAAUCCGAACGUUUUUCAUGGCAACUUUAGUUCACGCGAGGUAGGCAAACUUGGCAAUUUUCAGACAAAAAAAAGUACUAGGGGCAAACUUGCCAUGUUUUAACAAUUAAAGUUGCCACCUCGCAUCAACUAAAUUUUCCAUGAAAAAAUGUUCAGGAUGACAUGCCUAAAAUCCAAAAGUUCGAGAUUUAUCGGGGUCCAUACAAAACAUGAAUGCGAUAUGUUUCCUUUUGCAGGUGACAUGAAUGCAAUAUCGGACAACCUUUAGGACACAAACGAGACUACAAACAGUUCUCAAAAGACCCCAGGAAAAAAAAUCUAAAAUCAAAAGAAAAAAUAAGCAAGAAAACGUACAAAAUCUGGUCACGAGUAGAUAUAAGAAAACAGGUCAUGUACAUAUAAAAAACUUACGGGUUGGUCUUUCCAAGAAAGUGAUACAUCUUUAAAAAAACAAAUGAUAAGGAUAAGUGUCUGAAAGCCCAAAUAAUAAGAGGCACAUGUUUGGCAUGUAUCUAUCUAUCUAUCUAUCUAUCUAUCUAUCUAUUGAUAUAUCUAUUCUAUUCUAUCUAUCUAUUAUUUAUAUUAUUAAAACAGAAGACAAACAAGCCACCACAUUUAUCCAUAUAACCCAUUGAUUCUAAUUAGGGAAACAAUUGAGAUUAAAAUACAAAAAAAGGUCAUGUAAAAUGUAAAACGCGUACAAACAAUCCAUCGACACGUGCAUAUUGAGCCCAACAUGGGAGGUUACAUAGAAUAUAUAAUGCAUACAAACAAUCCAUCAUUGACACGUGCAUAUUGAGGCCAACAUGGGUGCACACAUGUAAAAUACAUGGUUACAUAGAAAAUUAGACUACAUGUAUAAAUAAGAGGAAGUAAACUUAUGCCAAGCCCUAUUCGUUAUCACUACAAGAAAUAUGUCAACUUGCGACCAUCACUAUUGGUCGGUGGAUGGUCAUUGGUUUUUCAUUUGCGACCUUUCUACGACCAAAAAAAUUGGUCAAAAGUUGACCGUCUUUAAUGAAACUUAACGGCCUUCUCUGUGAUAUAGUCGUAUAAGGCAACGACCAAAACAAAAGGUCGUUGGUCCUACGACCAAUUGUUUUGGUCGCUGGUUGUCUGCCCAGACCACGUUAGAUCCAACGUGGUAAAAUUGCGACCAAUUGAGCUGGACGUUGAUAAGAAUCAGCCUGGUCCAUUUCGGUGUCUAUAUGGGCCGAGCCCAUUAAUUCAGCCCUCUAAUAUAUUUUUUCUAUUAAUUUUGGUCAGCUAAAUGAGCUAAGCCCGGGACUACAUCCUUUUCAUUUUUGGGCCGUGGCCUUUUUAUCUUAUUUUUGGGCCAUGGCCUUUUUAUCUCAACAGUUUGUUUUUUUAUAUGUAUUAUGGUCCACUAGUCAUAUGGGUCCCAGUUAUCAUGUUCUGAUAAGUGGUUCCAAGUUGUCAGGUUCUAGUAACUGGGUCCGACUUGUUAGGGCCAUAUUCCUCAUAUUUCAUUUUGACAGUUAAUAAAUAACCAAUAUUCAAAUUGGCACAGACAAAAAACGCAUAUAAUACUUCAAAUAACAACAGCCAGAUUCAGUCUAGAGCCAGAUUCGGUAUGGAGCUCCUGCAAUACAAAUAACACGUAAUACAAUGUAAAAUCUAAGACACAUUGAUACGUCUUCGUCGUAUCUACUUUUCCAAACACUUUUGUCCUUGUUUUGGACUCUAACUUGCAUGAUUUGAAUGGAAGUAACCCGUACUAACGAUGUUUUCAGCAGAAUUGCCAUGGUGUUAUUUUUGUGCAGAAAUAAAAGUUCUCAGGAAUGACCUGAAAAUCAACGGAGAUUUUUUUUCGAAUAUAUAAAAAAUACUGGAAGAAUCCACGUCAGGGGGCCCACACCCUAUCCACGAGGGUGGGGGGUGCGCCUACCCCCUGGGCGCGCCCCCUGCCUCGUGGGACCCCCUGAUGCUCCACCGACCUCAACUCCAACUCCAUAUAUUCACUUUCGGGGAGAAAAAAUCCGGAGAGAAGGAUUCAUCGCGUUUUACGAUACGGAGCCGCCGCCAAGCCCUAAACUAUCUCGGGAGGGCUGAUCUGGAGUCCGUUCGGGGCUCUGGAGAGGGGAAUCUGUCGCAAUCGUCAUCAUCAACCUUCCUCCAUCACCAAUUUUAUGAUGGUCACCGCCGUGCGUGAGUAAUUCCAUCGUAAACUUGCUGGACGAUGAUGGGUUGGAUGCGAUUUAUCAUGAAUUGAGUUAGUUUUGGUAGGGUUUGAUUCCUAGUAUCCACUAUGUUCUGAAAUUGAUGUUGCUAUGACUUUGCUGUGCUUAAUGCUUGUCACUAGGGCCCGAGUGCCAUGAUUUCAGAUCUAAACCUAUUAUGUUUUCAUUAAUAUAUGUGAGUUCUUGAUCCUAUCUUGCAAGUCCAUAGUCACCUAUUAUGUGUUAUGAUCCGUUAACCCCGAAGUGACAAUAAUCGGGAUACUUGUCGGUGAUGACCGUAAUUUGAGGAGUUCAUGUAUUCACUACGGGUUAAUGCUUUGGUACGGUACUCUAUUAAAAGGAGGCCUUAAUAUCCCUUAGUUUCCAAUAGGACCCCGCUGCCACGGGAGGGUAGGACAAAAGAUGUCAUGCAAGUUCUUUUCCAUAAGCACGUAUGACUAUAUUCGGAAUACAUGCCUACAUUACAUUGAUGAACUGGAGCUAGUUCUGUGUCACCCUAUGUUAUAAUUGUUGCAUGAUCGAUCACAUCCGACAUAAUUCUCCAUCACCGAUCCAAUGCCUACGAACUUUUCAUAUAUUUUUCUUCGCUUAUUUACUUUUUCAUUGCUACUGUUACAAUCACUAUACAACCGAAAAUAUUACUAUUGCUACCGUUACCACUACUAUCGUAUUACUUUGCUACUAAAUACUUUGCUGCAGAUAUUAAGUUUCCAGGUGUGGUUGAAUUGACAGCUCAGCUGCUAAUACUUGAGAAUAUUCUUUGGCUCCCCUUGUGUCGAAUCAAUAAAUUUGGAUUAAAUACUCUACCCUUGAAAACUGUUGCGAUCCCCUAUACUUGUGGGUUAUCAAGACUAUUUUCUGGCGCCGUUGCCAGGGAGCAUAGCUCUAUUCUUUGAGUCACUUGGGUUUAUAUAUGCUUAUCAUUAUGAAGAACUUGAAAGAUCAAAGAACCAAGAUUUUUCCCUCAACUACGAGGGGAGGUAAGGAACUGUCAUCUAGCUCUGCACUUGAUUCACCUUCUGUUUUGAGUAAACUUGCAACACCUACACAUGCUAUUGAUUUCGAUAGUUCGCAUGUUAUUGAUGAUGCCACUUCUACUUUGCAUGAUACUUAUGAUGAAACUACUUCUAUGCUUGAUAAUACUGUGCCACUAGGUGAAUUUCUUGAUGAACAACUUGCUAGGGCUAGAGAGAAUGAAAUUAUUGAAACUGAUAAUAUUGAUGAAAGUGAUGAUGAAGAUUCUCCCCCUAGAUAUGAAUUGCCUAUUGUUAUGUUAUGGAUGAAUAAUCUACUAGAGAAUUCUUAGCUUGCAAUGAUAGAUCUGAUCUUAAGAAAUUACUAGCUAAGCUUAAAGAAAAAUCUUUGAAUGCUAGAAUGAAAUAUGACCCUGCUUUUGCUACUUCACCUAUGUUUAUUACUGAUAAGGAUUAUGAAUUCCCUGUCGAUCCUGAGUUAAUUACUUUGGUUGAAUAUGAUCCUUUUUAUGGCUAUGAAUCUGAAACUGUUGUGGCACAUCUUACUAAAUUAAAUGAUAUAGCCACCCUGUUUGCUCAUGAUGAGAAAACUCACUAUUACUUUAUCCUUAAGUUCGUUCAGUUCUCAUUAAAGGGUGAUGCUAAGACAUGGUUUAAUUCUCUUGAUUCUGGUUGUGUGCGUAGUCCCCAGGAUAUGAUUUAUUACUUCUUUGCUACAUAUUUCUCAGCUCAUAAGAAACAAGUUGCUUUAACGGAAAUAUAUAAUUUUGUGCAAAUUGAAGAAGAGAGUCCCCCACUAGCUUGGGGGAGGCUUCUCCAAUUACUUAAUGUUUUUCCUGAUCAUCCUCUCAAGAAAAAUGAAAUACUUGAUACCUUUUAUAAUGGACUAACCGAUGCUUCCAGAGAUUACCUGGAUAGUUGUGCUGGUUGUGUUUUCAGGGAAAUAACCGUUGAUCAAGCUGAAUUGCUAUUGAAUAAUAUGCUGACUAACGAAAAAAUUGGACACUUCCUGAACCAACUCCUAAGCCAACUCCGAAGAAAAGGGGCAUUCUAUUUCUCAGUCCCGAAGAUAUGCAAGAGGCAAAGAAAUCUAUGAAAGAAAAAGGUCUUAAAGGUGAAGAUGUUAAGAAUUUACCACCUAUUGAAGAAAUACAUGGUCUUGAUAACCUGACACAGGUAGUAAGGGUAAAUUCUCUCUAUAGAUUUGAUAAGUGUGAAAUUCCAUUUACUAAGUUUGCUAGCCAAUGCUUGGAUGAGUUUGAUGACUUUAUGGUUAAGCAAGAAAACUUCAAUGCUUAUGUUGGUAGACAGUUGAAACACAAUGAUGAUAUGCUUGAACACUUGAGUGAUUAGAUGGCUAGUGUUAAAGGUGAACUUAAACUUAUUAGUAAACAUGCUUCUAUGGUUACCACUCAAGUAGAACAAGUACUUAAGGCUCAGAAUGAUUUGCUCAAUGAAUUAAAUAAUAAGAAGAAUGAUAAUGCUGUUAGAGUUAUGACUAAAGGUGGUAAAAUGACUCAGGAACCUUUGUACCCUGAGGGCCAUCCUAAGAGAAUUGAGCAAGAUUCUCAGAGGACUAAUGUUGAUGCACCUAGUCCUUCUAAAAGGAAGAAAAGAAAAAUGAUAGGACUUUGCAUGCUUCUAGUGAACCUGUUGUUGACACACUUGAGAACCCCAACGAUAUCUCUAUUUCUGAUGCUGAAACACAAUCUGGUAAUGAACAUGAAAUUAGUGAUAAUGUUAAUGAUGAUGUUCAUGUUGAUGCUCAACCUAGCAAUGAUAAUAAUGUAGAGAUUGAACCUGUUGUUGAUCUUGGUAACCCACAAUCAAAGAAUCAACGUUAUGAUAAGAGGGACUUUGUUGCCAGGAAGCACAGUAAAGAAAGAGAACCAUGGGUUAAGAAACUCAUGCCUUUUCCUUCUAAACCAUCCAAGAAAAAGGAUGAUGACGAUUUUGAGCGCUUUGCUGAAAUGAUUAGACCUAUCUUUUUGCGUAUGCAUUUGACUGAUAUGCUUAAAAUGAAUCCUUAUGCUAAGUACAUGAAAGAUAUUGUUACAAAUAAAAGAAAGAUACCGGAAGCUGAAAUUUCCAUCAUGCUUGCUAAUUAUACUUUUAAGGAUGGAAUACCAAAGAAACUUGGAGAUCCAGGAAUACCAACUAUACCAUGCUCCAUUAAAAGAAACUAUGUUAAAACUGCUUUAUGUGAUCUCGGAGCCGGUGUUAGUGUUAUGCCUCUCUCUUUAUAUCGUAGACUUGAUUUGAAUAAGUUGACACCUAUUGAAAUAUCUUUUGCAAAUGGAUGAUAAAUCAACUGCUAUACCUGUCGGUAUUUGUGAGGAUGUGCAUGUGGUGGUUGCAAACGUUACUAUUUUAACGGACUUUGUUAUUCUUGAUAUUCCCGAGGACGAUAGCAUGUCCAUUAUUUUUGGAAGACCCUUUUUGAAUACUGCAGGGGCUGUUAUUGAUUGUAAUAAAUGCAAUGUCACUUUUCAUGUGAAUUGUAAUGAGCAUACGGUACACUUUUCGAGGAAACAACCUCAAGUCCACAGUAUCAAUUCUAUUGGAAAAAAUUCAACAAUCACUAUUGGAGGUUUUGAAUUUCCUCUUCCUACUGUCAAGAAGAAAUAUGAUAUUCUUAUUGUGGGGGAUGUGCAUAUCCCCGUUGAGGUAACCUAAUGUUAUUAGAAAAUUCUUCGGUUUCAUGUUAUUCGAAAUAAGUUUGUUAACAAGACCUGAUCAACCUUGUUAGUGGAUUCCUUUUGAUGAGCAUGAGAUGGAUGAAGUUAGAAAACACAACUCUCUGUACCCUCCUUUUACUUUCUGUUAUUUAGUUUAAAUAAAGCAAAAAUAGUAUUUUCUGUCAGUUUUCUGAAUUAUCUUUGCAAUAAAAAAUACCCCGAAAAUAAAAGUUCUCCAAAUGCCCUGAAAAUUAAAUAUGAUUUUUUCUAGAAUAUUCGAGAAUAUCUUGCACUAAGAACACAGCAGGGGGAGCAGCCACAUGCCCACAAGGGUGGAGGGCGCGCUCACCCCCCUGGCGCGCCCCCCUACCCCGUGGACCCCACGUGGGUCCCCUUCACUUAUCCUUACACCCACACACUUCGUCUUGCUCCAGAAAAAAAUCACUAGCCAGCUCAAACCCGAGUUCUUGCUCAUCUUGCUUCCAUUUUUGAUCUCCUUGCUCAAAGCUCCUUUCACAAUAUUGCUUUGGUGGAUUGUUCUUUGGUAUGUGACUCCUCCAAUGGUCCAAUUAGUUUUUGUUCUAGUGCUUUAUUCAUUGCAAAUAUUUGCUCCUUAGGUGACCCUGUUCUUGAGCUUGCAUGUCAAAUUUAUGUGGUCAAAAGUAGUUUUAAUGCAUGAUAUGGCCUCUAGGCACUUGUAGGAGUAGUUGCUAUCAAUCUUGUUGAGUUUGGUUCACUUUUAUUUUAAGUUACUAAAAAUUUCAGAAAUUUUUCAGAGGAAGAAAUAUGUUUAGGAAAAUGUACCAAGGUGGUUCCUCAAGGAAACAAGGACCCAUGCCCGCAAUACGCGAGCCGGACAAUGAACUACCAAGGGAGGCUCAAGUGCGGCCUUGUGAAUGGCCGUCAGAGGACUUCAUGAUUCGAGCAGGAAUCAAGGAGCAAUUUGACACAUAUGUGCGUAAUGCUGAUCUUGAGAGCUUUGAGGCGGAUAAGUGCUGUUAGUACUGCUACUUCAUUGAUUCCUUUGUGAGAAGGUUUGAAUUUACAUCAUCACGCAAUUCUCAAACUGUCAUGUUUGAUCUUUAUGAUAAAUCUUAUACCAUGGACUUAGAAGAUUUUAAUACUACUUGUAAACUCACACAAUGGUGUAAUGUUAGUGAACCUCGUAAAUAUGAAUAUAAGGAUUUUCUUGCUAGUAUCAUUGUGGGGGAAUCUAGGGACCAUAGGGAGCAUUCAUUUUCCUCCUAUACAUUAUUUUUGCUCUCUUUAUAGGUAGAUGCAUAAAUGGUAAGGAUGAAGUAUGUCACAUGUGUGUUCCAGAUCUUAGUGUUCUCAAGAGUGUUGUAUUAGGAGAUAAACAAUAUAACUUGGGGGCCAUUGUUGCACGUAGGUUGCAUAAUAACAAAAUUAAUGGAGAUUUCUUUGGUGGAAUUUAUGCAACCCGUUUAGCUAAAUUUCUUGAGAUAACCAUUCGUGGAUAUGAUAUUGAGUUGCCUCCUGCUUAUUUAGAUUAUGAUGCUAUGGUUUGUCAUCAGUUCGUUGAGAGGAACAAUCAGUCCCUCCAAUACCGACUAAUCUUUGAAAGACGAUGCAUCAAUCACGCCGCUCUCCCUGCUCCUACUUUCUUUGACUUUCAGGCAAAAGGGAGAUAUGUUAUAACCAAGGAGGAGGGCGGAGGCAGCUCGCCUCCAAGCUCUAGCUCAUCAGGCAAUUGCCGCUGCAUAUCUCAGUACGACCCCAGUUACAACUUUGAUCCAUGGGCAUAGACCAACUUAGGCAAAAAGCCUAAACUUGGGGGAGUACGUAUUUCUCAUCGACAUUACAUUCAUGUUCACACAUUCAUGCCAGUUGUCGGUGCUCAUACUUUUUCAUUGUAUCAUCCAUGCUAGUUUAUUUUAUUAUUUAGCUUUCUUCUUGUGUGUUUGAAAAGCCUUAAGAAAAACCAAAAAAAAUAAUUGUAGCUUUUAGUUAGCUUACUUUCCAUGCCUGUAGUAGUAGUAAUUAAAAACAAAACACAAAAAGAUUUCUCAUUCUUCUUUUGCUUGUUGGGAGCUUUCCCGUGUAAAUAGUUUUGUUUCUUUACUUUCCUUUGGGGGUCGAGAGGAGAAGACCAUAAUGAAAAUUUUGAGUGGCUAUUAUACGCAUUAUUUUUGAUCUAACAAAGAGGCCAUAUUACCUUGUCUUCUCUCUUGAAUUGAAUGCUUGCAGAUUCCUGCUUAGUCUAAUGCACGUGCACUAUUAUUAUUAUCCACACUAUUCGGUCGUGCAAGUGAAAGGCAAUAAUGAUGAUAUAUGAUGAACUGAUCGAGAUUAGAAAAGCUGGUAUGAACUCGAUCGCUCUUGUUUUUGUAAAUAUGAUUAGUUCAUCGUUUCUGAUUCAGCCUAUUAUGAAACAAACAUGUUUGUAAUGACAAUUAGAGAUUGUAGUUGCUUAUGGCAUGCUUAAUUAGAUAAGAGUUUAUAAUUGUUUACCUUGUGUGCCAACAUGCUAUUAAAAUGGUUGUGAUGUGGUAUGAUAGGGUGGUAUCCUCCUUUGAACGAUUCGAGUGACUUGACUUGGCACAUGUUCACGCAUGUAGUUGAAAUAAAACCAACAUAGCCUCUACAAUAUUUAUGUUCAUGGUGAAUUAUAUCCUACACAUGCUUGCAUCCGGUGUUGAUUAAUUUUAAUGCAUCUUCAUGACUGUUGUCGCUCUCUAGCUGGUCGCUUACCAGUCUUUUUCUAGCCUUCACUUGUACUAAGCAGGAAUACUGCUUGUGCAUCCAAUUCCAUAAACCCUAAAGUUAUUCUAUAUGAGUCCACCAUACCUUUCUAUAUAUGGUAUCUACCUGUCGUUCCAAGUAAAUUUGUAUGUGCCAAACUCUAAACCUUCAAAUAAAUAUUCUGUUUUGUAUGCUCGAAUAGCUCAUGUACCAACUAGGGCUGUCUGUAUCCUCCAUGCUAGGCGGGUUAUUCUCAAGAGAAGUGGACUCCGCUCCUCAUUCACGAUAAAAUGGCUGGUCACCGGGAUGCCCAGUCCCAUGGUCAAAUCAAAUCAAAAUAAUCGCAAACAAAACUCCCCCAGGAUUGUUGUUAGUUGGAGGGACCCGUUGUUUCGGGCAAGCCAUGGAUUGAUGCUUAUUGAUGGUGGGGGAGUAUAAACUUUACCAUUCUACUUGGGAACCGCCUAUAAUGUGUGUAGCAUGGAAGAUAUUGAGAUCUCUCGGUUGUUAUGUUGACAAUGAAAGUAUACCGCUCAAAAUAUUAUUCAUAUCUAUUUCAAAACCGAGCUCCGACACCUCUACAAAUCCCUGCUUUCCUCUGCGAAGGGCCUAUCUAUUUACUUUUAUGUUGAGUCAUCAUUCUCUUAUUAAAAAGCACCAGUUGGAGAGCACUGCUGUCAUUUGCAUCCAUUACUGUUAGUUUACAUUGAGUAUAACUUGACUGGAUCUCUUUUACCAUGAAUUACAAUGUCUAGUCAGUCCUUGAUCUUUAAAGGUGCUCUGCAUUUAUGUUUUGUGGUCUCAGAAAGGGCUAGCGAGAUACCAUCUUGUUAUAUCAUAUCAUGAUUGUUUUGGGAAAGUGUUGUCAUCCGAGAUUUGUUAUUAUUGCUCGCUAGUUGAUUAUGCCAUUGAUAUGAGUAAACAAGAGACCUAAGUGUUAUUGUGAAUACGGUAAGUUCAUAAUUUUUGCUAAAAAAAUUGAAUGUUGGCUUUACAUAUUUACAACAACAAGAGCAAACAGAGUUUGUAAAAGUUUUUCUUUACCACUUUCAGUUUAUCAACUGAAUUGCUUGAGGACAAGCAAAGGUUUAAACUUGGGGGGAGUUGAUACGUCUCCGUCGUAUCUACUUUUCCAAACACUUUUGCCCUUAUUUUGGACUCUAACUUGCAUGAUUUGAAUGGAACUAACCCGGACUGACGCUAUUUUCAGAAGAAUUGCCAUGGUGUUAUUUUUGUGCAGAAAUACAAGUUCUCGAAAUGACCUGAAAAUCAACGGAGAUUAUUUUUGGAAUAUAUGAAAAAUACUGGAAGAAGAAUCCAUGUCAGGGGUCCCACACCCUGUCCACGAGGGUGGGGGCGCGCCGACCCCCCACCUGGUCGCGCCCCCUGCCUCGUGGGCCCCCUGAUGCUCCACCAACCUCAACUCCAACUCCAUAUAUUCACUUUCGAGGAGAAAAAAAAUCGAAGAGAAGGAUUUAUCGCGUUUUACGAUACGAAGCCGCCGCCAAGCCCUAAACUCUCUCGGGAGGGCUGAUCUGGAGUCCGUUCGGGGCUCCGGAGAGGGGAAUCCGUCGCCAUCAUCAUUAUCAACCUUCCUCCAUCACCAAUUUCAUGAUGCUCACCGCAGCGUGUGAGUAAUUCCAUCGUAGGCUUGUUGGACGGUGAUGAGUUGGAUGAGAUAGUUAGUAUUUUUAGGGUUUGAUCCCUAGUAUCUACUAUGUUCUGAGAUUGAUGUUGCUAUGACUUUGCAAUGCUUAAUGUUUGUCACUAGGGCCUGAGUGCCAUGAUUUCAGAUUUGAACCUAUUAUGUUUUCAUCAAUAUAUGUGAGUUCUUGACCCUAUCUUGCAAGUCUAUAGUCACCUAUUAUGUGUUAUGAUCCAUUAACCCCGAAGUGACAAUAAUCGGGAUACUUACCGGUGAUGACCGUAGUUUGAGGAGUUCAUGUAUUCACUAUGUGUUAAUGCAUUGGUCCGGUACUCUAUUAAAAGGAGGCCUUAAUAUCCCUUAGUUUCCAAUAGGACCCCGCUGCCACGGGAGGGUAGGACAAAAGAUGUCAUCCAAGUUCUUUUCCAUAAGUGCGGAUGACUAUAUUCGGAAUACAUGCCUACAUUACAUUGAUGAACUGGAGCUAGUUCCGUGUCAUCCUAUGUUAUAACUGUUGCAUGAUCGAUCGCAUCCGACAUAAUUCUCCAUCAUCGAUCGAAUGCCAACGAGCUUUUCAUAUAUUGUUCUUCGCUUAUUUACUUUUCCGUUGCUACUAUUACAAUCACUAUAAAACCAAAAAUAUUACUAUUGCUACCGUUACCACUACUAUCAUAUUAUUUUGCUACUAAAUACUUUGCUGCAGAUAUUAAGUUUCCAGGUGUGGUUGAAUUGACAAGUCAGCUGCUAAUACUUGAGAAUAUUCUUUGGCUCCCCUUGUGUCGGAUCAAUAAAUUUGGGUUGAAUGCUCUACCCUCAAAAACUGUUGCGAUCCCCUAUACUUGUGGGUUAUCACACAUACAAACAAUCCAUUAUUGACACAUGCAUAUUGAACGAUAUCCAAGGCAAUGAUCAUACAUAGGCAUGACGUCCGAGACAAGUAUACCGAAAGUAUUCUGCAUCUACUACUAUUACUCCACACAUCGACCGCUAUCCAGCAUGCAUCUAGAGUGUUACUCCCUCCGUCUCGGUGAAUAAAUCAUUCAUGUAGUUCUAGGUCAAUGAUUAAACUAUCUAAAUAUGUACUAUAUGUGACAAAAAUAUAUAUUUAGAAACUACACUAGCAAAUAUGUCCGUGCGUUGCAACGGGGAAAAAUUAUGGCACUCCCCUACCCUUAUAAGCAUGGCUUAAGAUGACCCUUCCACCAACACAUACACAUGUCCACAUCAUUUAUCAUAGCAUGAUACAUCACAUGUGUCGCUUUUUAUCUUCCUGCCCACCCUUGUUGGAAGUGGCCACGAACCAAUUUAUAUCAAUAGACUUUUAUGCAAUAUAUUUUAAUACUAUGUAAUUUUUUUCUAUCUAAAACAAAUUUAUUGUCUACAUUAAUGAUAAAGGUAUUCUCAAAAGAACUCCAUUUUUGGAUAUGAUUUCUCAAUUCUCAUCAAGGGUAAGUUGUGCCAUGUAAGAUCAUAUCAUAUAACCAUGGGGGAAAAUGAGGAUUCUUAUCAAUGCUAUAUGUUCAGGGGAGCCUCAUUUACACUUAUUAUAUCACUACAAUGCACAGUAGUUUUUUUUGUGAUGUACCACUUGGUAGCAAACCCUAUCUCUGCCACCCAUUUGUAUCGGCCGAGAUCCAUCCUCAUAUAUAAGUGGAAAUAGAGAAGAGAGAGAAAGUUGUCACAUGAUCAGUUUUAGGGCUAUCCUAAUUAACUUUCAGCGGCACGUCAAAAGUUUAUAUAUAAGUCUAUUACGAAUAUUGUCUUUGGAGGCCGAGCUCCAUGGAGCUCGGUUUUGCAUAUAAUGUACAUUUUUUAGUGAAUGUUAUUCUCCUCUAACUUGUUGUUCUAAAUUUUAUAUAUACUAUCAGAUAAAAUUUUGUUAUCAAAUUUCAUUACCAUCUUGAAGGAGUAUUAUUCUUUUUUUUGCCAAAUUCCAAGGAGUAUUAUUCAUAAAAAUAAUAAUGCCCGGUUCAUCUAAACAUGGUCAUUAACCUGGUUGUGCCCCAACAGACCACGUAUAUAGUAUAGCUUAUAUAAUGUAUAAACGGUUGUGGCAUAUUAAUUUGAUGUUGAUUUUCUCGUAUAUAAUAUUUUAUAUUUGUUAAAGACAAUGUAUCCAUCAAACGGUGAGGGCAUUAGUUGUGACCUCAUUAAUUUACAGGACUUACAAAAAUAUGCUGACGAUCUAUGUGUGCAUAUGUCCAAUGAGAGUGAUGUGCGUAUAGAUGCCUAUGUAUUACUUGUACCCAUUAGUUUCAAAAAAAAAUUACAUGUUACGUAGUAUGUUGUUGUUUUCUGACCAAAUGUUACCUGCUUUUUUACCAAAUCUUUUUUUUUCAAGAAUCACCAAAUGUACCUAUGUAAUAUUUCACGUAGAGGCUUCCACAGGAUCGAGCCUACGCUCCAAAUCGUGAUUUUUUUACUACUACUGUUUAUCGGCAGGCUCAGCCCAGGUAAAGCUGGUCAGCUGGCCCAUCUAGCGAAUUAGGCAUGCGAGGCCACGAGCAGGCAGCCACACGAGCUGUGUAGAGAGGCAGCCCGCACGGCCGCACGCUCCCAUGCCCUCGACGACAUAGCUGCCGAACGGCCGGAGCUGUGGAGGCGCGGAGGUCGCCACCUCGCCGGUCGUCGGAAGCCGCCACACCAUGCAAACCUCGGUACCCCACCGGUCGCCGGCUCACCGCCAUACUGUUCGAGACUUCGAUCGAGCUCGCCGUAAACCGAGGGAGCCAGGGAGGCAAACAGCUCAUCACCCAUCGGCCGUUGUCAGGGCCCAGGCGAGCGAGCCGCACUCCGCACGUGCUCUCCGGCGAGCAGAGCCACAUCUCGUCGGCCACCUCCUCCUGUCACGCCUGGUCCUUGGCAUGGGGACGCGCACAUGGUCCAGUCGCGUCCGGGCACCGCACAUCUCGCGGGAGUCCUACCUCAUACAGAGCUGCUCAAAGCCUCCAACUCUGCUCCGCAGGCGUUGCCCUCGCCUUGACUUCCCUUAUCCGUGCCUGGUGGUGGCGCACUGGCGCUUUGAGCACGUCAAAACGCCGCCGACUUCCGCACCACCAGUAUGUCGGUUCCCCUCCUCCUCAGAUGUGGACUGCCUCCCCUCCUAGGCCUCCUUGCUGGCUGAGCUCCCAUUCUUUGGCGGAGGCGCCGGCUUGGAGGCAGCGGCCUCGGGAAGGAUCUCUUCCUCACGACCAUGGGGGCCGAUGGUCCUAUGCUUUUGACCUUGUGCGCAAUCUCCCACCUCUCAGGCAGUACAGGCCGAGGGCCUAGGCACGGGGCUCUGACGGCUCAUCGAUGUCCCGGGUGGCCGGGUGGGGCGAGGUCGAAUAGGUGUUCUGCAAGGGAACGAAAACGAGAUCGGUGGCCAUGGUUUUCUUUUUUCCUUCCUUUAUUAAUGUCAUGUUAAAUCUCGGCUGACGGUUUUUAUGGUUAAUAUAAAAUCAACGGAUAUAAAAAAGUGACUUAUGGAGAACUAUGAAAGGCUCUGUCUUCUAAUAUUAGGUAAUGAUACGUGUAGAAAUCUAGUGCUAUACUUUUCAUGACAUAUAACACAUAUUUAAUUCUUCAAAUCGAUGACCUAGAACUACGCGAAUGACUUAUUCACCUAGACGGAGGUAAUAAGUUCAUAAAGAACGGAGUAACGCCUUAAGCAAGAUGACAUGAUGUAGACAAGAUAUACUCACAUAUGAAUAAACCCCAUCCUUUUAUCCUUAAUGGCAAUGACACAUAUGUGUCAUGUCCCUUUCUGUCACUAGGAUUGAGCACCGCAAGAUCGAACCCAUUACAAAGCACAUCUUCCCAUUGCAAGAUAAAUCAAUCUGGUUGGCCAAACCAAAUCAAUAGAACGGAGAAAAAAUACGAAGCUUAGUAAUCAUGCAUAAAGGAGUCCAUAGAAAACUCAAAUAAUAUUCAUGGGUAGAUCUGAUCAUAAACUCAUAAUCCAUCGGAUUCCAACAAACACACCACAAAAAAUGGUAACAUAAAAUAGAACUCCAAGAAUAUCAAGGAGAACAUUGUAUUGAAGAAUAUCGAGAGAGAAGAAGCCAUACAACUACUAACUAUGGACCCGUAGGUCUGUGGUAAACUACGCACACAUCAUCGGAAGGGCAACAAGGUUGAUGUAGAGCCCCUCCGUGAUUGAUUCCCCCUCUGGCAGAGUACCGGAAAAGGUCCGCAGAUGGGACCUCUCGAGAACAGAGGUUUGCGGCGGCGAAAAAGUAUUUCGUGGAGUCCUCUCUUGGUUUCACAAUUUUAGAGAAUUUACAGAGGCCCCAUGAGUUAGGUCAAAUGAAGCCAUGUGGGCCCCACAAGACACUAGGGCGUGCCCUGCUGCCUCAUGGGCAAUUGCUCCAUCUUCUGGUCCCCUCCCAAAGGUUCCAGCGUCUUUUAUGUCUAGAAAAAAUCACCAAAAAGUUUUGUGGCAUUUGAACUUCGUUUAGUAUUGAUAUUCUGCAAAAUAAAAAACAAGCAAAAAACAACAACUGGUACUGGACACUAAAUUAAUAUUUUAGUCCCAAAAAUGACAUAUAGUUGCAUGUAAAUGUAUAUAAAACAUCCAGGAUUGAUACUAUAAUAGCAUGGAACAAUCAAAAUUUAUAGAUACGUUGGAGACGUAUCAGGAAAGUAUGACAGGGGACUAGAUAGCUCACGAUUGGGAUGUUCUCCUCCUGCGAUGGCGAGAUAUUCUUUGGGCCCUCUUGGUGUUACGAUUACGGGAAUGCCGGAACGUGGGAAAGAGAAAAGAGAACAAAACCUAUAACGAGGAAACUAGCAUGGCGAGCAUGGUGAACAAAUUUGUUGACUCACGGGGAUGCCACUAAAUCUCACCUCAGGUAUUUGUAACAUAUCGGGAAUCAACAGUAACAACAUUCGGUAAACUACAAGUUUGCUCGAAUAUUUAUUCAUGUGGGUAUAGGGAUCAACAUGGAUCUCCAUGGUUCCACUAUUGAUCACUGAUCGGAAAGUUUUCGGAUCAUGUCUAUACUUCACUGAAUCUGCAAGGUCAAACAUUUAAGGUUCGUCUAUCUACUGAUUAGUAGGCAUGGAGUCCUAUAAAAACAAACUGGAAAAUUUUCGGAGGGAGUACCGGAAAUGUUUCGGAGUAAAAACAUCAUACCGGAAAUGUUCCGAAACGCGUCCAGAAUUAUUUUAGUACAUGCCGAAAAUAUUCUAGACCUUCCGAAUUAUUUUUCUGAUUAAACAGUCACGGGUAUUUUCAAGAAUGGUGGGAUGAAUAGGAAACACUACUAGGGUACAACCCCCCUUUUGGUAGCUUUUUGGUUCGGGAUUUGUCCCUAAAGUUGUUGGGAUGACAUGGGGUGGUGGCCCCUCCAAAAUGGGACCCACACACAUGUGUGGAUGGUUGGGAAGGGGGCCCUCCAUGGAGCUUCUUUCACUAUGAAAUUUGCUCUAUUCAGUGACAAAAACACCGGCGACGAAAUAGAAACGUUGCCUAAAAUCAUUUUCUUUGACGGUCCACCAUCAUGAGGUGUUUUACUCCCGGGGCAGCGCCCUUGAUAACUUUGGCGACGCUUUUGGGCGUCACUAGGCGUGCCCAUUUUCUGGGAUGAUUCAUAGUGCCAUAGAAAAAUGUUGAGCAGGGCAAUGUCUUAAAAUGUAAUAAGAAAAAUAACUGAUUGUUUUUGAAGCUGACUAAUCUAGUGUUGAAAGUCUAUGUAGAUAUUUUCUGAAAGUAGUCAAUCUACUUUUUGAUAGUGUUCCUGAAAAUUUUGGAGAAUCUCUACACUAUCUAAUUUAAAAAGGGCAAACAAAAAUUUGUGCUUAGUGUGGCUCGAACGCAAAAAGUCGAGUACGUAGUGCAUAAUGCAUCGCCAGUACACCAUUGAUAAGUUAUCAAUCAAAAUGUCGGUACUCGUUUACAUAUAGGAUGUCUAGUAGAGUCUACCGAUCCAAGCGAUUCAUCUCGUCGCGUGACGAAGGCAUACACCAAGCUUCAAUGCUGUGACGUGUCAAGUAAUGAUGGCCAGCGCGUGCCAACAACCAUCAGCCAUUGACUUCACUUUUUCCCACCGCCGUCCAACUUUUUGCCGCCACUUUUUCUGGCCCGCCACCCGCCGCUCGUGGCUAUAAGAAGACCCUCGCGAUGACCAAACUACUCAUCCUCUAUCCUCACAGUCUCCACAUCCCUCCACAUUGACAUGGUCGAAUAGAUGACCUCCUCCGUGACCAGUUAGCUCAUUCUCUUUCAGCCUCCCCCAACCCAUUUCAUUGUCAUAUCUGAAUAACUCACCGUGGCCUUGAUGCUUAGUAUCUAUGAGCAGCCGGUCUUGGGGCCAGUCUGGAAGGAGGAUCCCUUCGCCAUCUUGCGGUGUUGCCACGAUAAAGCUGGCGCUCAUUGCUCUUUUUGGGCACCAGCAUCUUGCUUGUUGCACUGUGUAAUGGAGUCAAAUGAGGUGCCGUCACAUGGCUCCAUUACACGGAGCAACAUGCACACAUGGUGCAGACGAGGAGGCAGCUCGUCACAUCUGCAUGCCCCAUGUGCAGCAUUCACCAUCACCAUGUUGAUAAGCACAACAACUAGUGUAGUCACUUCUUCAUGUUGGUACACGGGCGUUGUAACAUCUUCCACAGGCCGAAAAAACUAUUACAAUCUUUCCUGCGAUGUUCAUGUGAUGGAAGGACACGUUAAUAUCGACUACGGAGUGUAUGUGUGUAUGCAUGAGCGUAUGCAUCUGUACUUAUUAUGAUAUUGUGAUGAAACACAUAGGAGACUUGUAGUUGCAAUUGCCACGAGAUGGACAAAGAGCAUAUGAAGAUGGUUAUUAUGGACCAAGAACAAACAAUCAGACAAUAGGUAUGUUGUUUUUCCUUGAACCUACCAGAGAAGGUGCUUCUGUAGAGUUGCAAUAUCAUCUUAGAAUUCGAACUUAAAGCAAUGCUUGUAGCCACCUCUCAAUCGCACCCAGUUAGCAUCAUUGUAUUUGGUUCUUUAUAUUACAUCCACUGUGAUGAUUUAAUGUGUGUGUAUUCCUGAAGUUCAACAAGGUGAUUUUGUUGGUUGUGGAAGCUUAACUUUUUCAUUUGAUUCCUUUCUUGCAUUGGCCCUUGGAUUGUCAUUCAUUUCAUUGCGGCCUAUGUUGAACAAGAUGUUGGUGUAAGGUAUGCACCUAAGGAGCAUAUGAGGGUUCUCUUAUUUAUUAAGUAUCGAGAAAAGUCCACAUUUCAACCCUCAACUAACCACGGCGUUUGAUUGUCAACCCUCAACUCUAAAACCGGUCGGAUUUCAACCCUGAACUUGUCACACUGUCCACUUUACCCCCCUUGACUCGGUUUGAGGCUAGUCAAGUGGUUUUGACCCGGUCAAAGCUGACUGGGCAGCCCAGUCACCAUGCCACGUGUAAAUCUAAAAAAUGGAUGAUUCUCUCAAUCUAUAAAUCCAUUAAAGUUGAAAAUUUCCCAGGUAUCUAAACAUCAUAUGAGUGUUGUUGUGUAAAAAUUUCAGAAUUUUCUGGGCACUUUUUUUUCGGUUCAAAAUUUUGACCGAAUAGUGGCUGAAUUUGAAAAAUUGAUGGUUCUCUCAAUCUAUAAAUCCAUUUAAGUUGAAAAUUUCCCAGCUAUCUAAACAUCAUAUGAGUGUUGUUGUGUAAAAAUUUCAGAAUUUUCUGGGCACUUUUUUUUUCGGUUCAAAAUUUUGACUGAAUAGUGGCUGAAUUUGAAAAAUUGAUGGUUCUCUCAAUCUAUAAAUCCAUUUAAGUUGAAAAUUUCCCAGCUAUCUGAAAAUCAUAUGAGUGUUGUUGUGUAAAAAUUUCAGAAUUUUCUGGGCACUUCUUUUUCGGUUCAAAAUUUGGGCAGCAUUUGGGCAGCAUUUUGGUACCAUUUGGUAGCAUUUGGUCAUCAUACGGAAAAGAUGAUUGCAAACACACAUAGAUGUCUCAAAUAGAAAACAUAGAUGUCUCACACACAAUACAUAGAUGAGGUCUCACACACAACACAUAGAUGUCUCACACAAUACAUAAUGCAUUUCUGGCAAGCAGCGAUGUUGCUAGCUGAUUCAUGAUUGAAGUCCAAGCAGCCUGCGAAACCCCGCAUACUUCUUUGUGUGCUUGACAACUCUGCUGCUAGCUCUAGCGCUAGAAUUGCCGGUAGAUACAUUAACAUUGACAUUGGAGCUUCUUUGCACAUUAAUUGUAUUUCUGGAGAAAUUGUUGGACCUGCUGCUGCUUCCAGUUGGCGCCCUUCUCUUUGGGUUAGGUGCAGCCACUUCCUCAGUGGCCUUCCGUUUGCUCUGCCUAGUGCUGCUCUGGCGUGAAGGCUACAAGAAACAUGGCAAAUGUUAGUUAUAUAUACAUGAUAGUGUAAUCAGGUUUGCUCAUGCAUAUUUCCUGGAUAGUGUACCAUAUCUGGCCCUUGACUAGCACAUGGUGCUUGGCUACUUGUUGCAGUUUGGCUUGUAGCAGGCUGUUUGGAAGCAGCUGAUGGUGCUUUGCUUCUAGCAGGACCUUGGCCUUGCUUAGGAGUUUGUGUAUUUGAACUCCCUGUGCCAUUUCUUGCUUUGCAUGAUGUCCUGUUGUGCCCAUGUAGCUUGCACAUGCUGCAUCUUAUCUUUGUACCUCUCUUAGAAACCCUAGUGGCACACCUUGGCUUCUCUUGUUCCUCUCUGGUCCUUUGCUUUUUCUUCCUACCGGGCAUCGUAAUCUCCCCUGGUGGAUUAGGUCUUGGCCUCUCAGACACAGGCCAUGCAGGUCUGCCUUCCACAGGUUGAAGGCAAAAAGCAUAAGUUUUCUUGAAUGCUUCUAUGCUAUAGCACUUGUCAAUGUAAUCAUCUAUGUUGUUGGUUUUGAAAAAAAUGCAUGAUAUAGCAUGAGGGCAUGGAAGACCAGAUAGUUGCCAAUAUCUACAACUACAUGUCCACUCUUCUAGAUUCACUUGGAACCUAUGUUCUCUAUGAGUCACCUCAUAUAAAUCUUCACCAUUCCAAACAGCAUGACAAUAGGCAGAGGCAUUUAUGCUUUUCUUCAGUUUUCUAAGUACCGUGGGACAAAUGGUGCCGGUCCACUUGUCCGACUCGGUUCUUUGAUAUUCUAUCCUAGCCAUUAUCUUCACCCUAAUGGCUUCAAACAUGCUGAUUGCUGGCAAACAGCGAGGCUCCACGAUCCACUUAUUAAAAGACUCGCAAAUGUUGCUGUCUACCGAGUCACAAUUAGAGCCCAAUCUGAACCAAGCCCUGCUCCAAUGGUGUGGGUCAGUUUUCAUCACAUCCCUUGCCCCUUCAACAGUCUCUUGUGCUAACUUCGCUCUUGCAAGAUUGAAAAGCAUUGGAGAACUAGCUUUUGCACAUGCCCAAAAUAGCUUCUGCCAUUCCUUCUCUCUGUAGGUCUUCCUCCAGUUUGCAUACAAGUGCCUUGCGCAAUUCCUAUGCUCUGCUCUUGGUAGCCAAUUUUCAACAGCCUUGAGAAUACCCUACAAGCAACGACAACAUGAGUCAGAACAUACAACAUACAACACAAUGUAAUAUGAUAAAAUGUGAUUAAAAGAGAAUUACUUUCUGCUGAUCAAAAAUAAUAACAUAGUCCGAUCCAUCUCCAAGUUUUAAGUCUGAGCACAACAGGCUAACAAACCAAUCCCAGGUUUCAUUGGUCUCUUUGUCUACAAGUGCCCACGCUAUCGGAUACAUCUGAUGGUUUGCAUCUCUUCCAAUUGCACUCAACACCUCUCCUCCUCUCCCCUUCAAGAAACAUCCAUCCAAACCUAUGACUUUUCUGCAUCCAGCCAGAAAACCUUUCUUACAAGCAUCAAAACAUAUAUAGAAUUUGUCAAAGGUUGGAACUUCAUUGUCAGGGUUUAGCUUCACUAUGCAAGUAGAACCAGGAUUGCUUCUAAGAAGCUCUAGCUGAUAAUCGAAGACUUGGCUAUAUUCACCCAAUUUUGACUCUUGAAUCCUUUUUGAGACAAUUGCCUUAGCUCUCUUGAUCUUCGAUAUGUGUACAUUAGCAAACAUCUCCUCCUGCACCGUGGCCUUCAAAUUUUGGACUGACCAGUCAGUGUUUGACUUGAUCAAAUUCUCAAACUUGUUGGCUAUUCUGGUGCAUGUCACCAACUUGUUGUCUCUCCUCUUUGGGCAUGUGUGCUCAUCAAUGAAAGAAGUAAUCUGCCAGCUUUCAAACUUGCUAGUCUUCCUCGCUAAACAAACCCAUUUGCAAGUUGGCCAAGUGCACUUUGCUCUCACCCUGUCACCCUCAUCCUUAAUGAAUUUUAUUUCCUUCCUCUUCCUAAGACCAUAGUCCACUAUUGCCUCUUUGAACUGUUUCUUUCCACUAAACUUCAUUCCCAAACUGAAUUUCUUCACCUCAGCCUGACUCGAAUACUUUGNNNNNNNNNNNNNNNNNNNNNNNNNNNNNNNNNNNNNNNNNNNNNNNNNNNNNNNNNNNNNNNNNNNNNNNNNNNNNNNNNNNNNNNNNNNNNNNNNNNNNNNNNNNNNNNNNNNNNNNNNNNNNNNNNNNNNNNNNNNNNNNNNNNNNNNNNNNNNNNNNNNNNNNNNNNNNNNNNNNNNNNNNNNNNNNNNNNNNNNNNNNNNNNNNNNNNNNNNNNNNNNNNNNNNNNNNNNNNNNNNNNNNNNNNNNNNNNNNNNNNNNNNNNNNNNNNNNNNNNNNNNNNNNNNNNNNNNNNNNNNNNNNNNNNNNNNNNNNNNNNNNNNNNNNNNNNNNNNNNNNNNNNNNNNNNNNNNNNNNNNNNNNNNNNNNNNNNNNNNNNNNNNNNNNNNNNNNNNNNNNNNNNNNNNNNNNNNNNNNNNNNNNNNNNNNNNNNNNNNNNNNNNNNNNNNNNNNNNNNNNNNNNNNNNNNNNNNNNNNNNNNNNNNNNNNNNNNNNNNNNNNNNNNNNNNNNNNNNNNNNNNNNNNNNNNNNNNNNNNNNNNNNNNNNNNNNNNNNNNNNNNNNNNNNNNNNNNNNNNNNNNNNNNNNNNNNNNNNNNNNNNNNNNNNNNNNNNNNNNNNNNNNNNNNNNNNNNNNNNNNNNNNNNNNNNNNNNNNNNNNNNNNNNNNNNNNNNNNNNNNNNNNNNNNNNNNNNNNNNNNNNNNNNNNNNNNNNNNNNNNNNNNNNNNNNNNNNNNNNNNNNNNNNNNNNNNNNNNNNNNNNNNNNNNNNNNNNNNNNNNNNNNNNNNNNNNNNNNNNNNNNNNNNNNNNNNNNNNNNNNNNNNNNNNNNNNNNNNNNNNNNNNNNNNNNNNNNNNNNNNNNNNNNNNNNNNNNNNNNNNNNNUGGUGGCCGCGGGCGGCGGCGUCCCAGGCAGCGGUGGAGGUGCUGGCCCCGGGCGGCGGCGUCCCAGGCGGCGGUGGCGGCGCGCCCGGUUACCGGUCGCCGGCGAGGAGGUCGUGGCUGCGGGCGGCGGCGACCAACGCGGCGGCAGGUCGAUUUGGAUCGGGGUGAGACUGAACAAACGAGAGAGAGAUGGGGAUAAGGUUGGACCUGUGUGCGUGGCAUGCUGACUGGGCUGCCCAGUCAGCUUUGACCGGGUCAAAACCACUUGACUAGCCUCAAACCGAGUCAAGGGGGGUAAAGUGGAAAGUGUAACAAGUUCAGGGUUGAAAUCCGACCGGUUUUAGAGUUGAGGGUUGACAAUCAAACGCCGUGGUUAGUUGAGGGUUGAAAUGUGGACUUUUCUCUUAAGUAUCUGAUCUCCGUGCUGUAUGAAAAUGAGGCAUAUACAUUGCUGAUACAUAUUACUCAAUCCUUCCAUUUCUAAAAAAAUAUUACUCAAUCCUUUGUUCGACCCGAUGAAACACAAUGUCCGAUCAUUGUGUUUUUAGAAUGCAUGUACUAAACAUCAUUACAGAACUGAAAUCAAACAGACAUCAACACCAUUGUCCAUCCCGUCGCACAUCAGUGGUCACAUCCGCCCACCUUGUACGGUUCUGAACGGCAGUUUAUGCCACAGUACAAUCACGUUUGUCUUCGAUGUGCCGUAUGCUAUAAUCUGCGGACGGUUGGCUUGCUGGUCGGCCACUAUGUUCCGGUGCGGUGAUAACCAUGAAGCCAAGGAACGAUGAAUCCCAUUAGCUGGAGGUGGAGUAGAUCCGGCAUCUCCAGGUCCCUGAGAGCAAGUACAAUUAAUAGCAAGCUUAUAACUCAUAUGGCAAUUUUUCCUAUGUGGAGGAGAGAGAUAUGAAAAAGUGAGGAAAGUGGGCUUUAAUGCAAGUGCCAAGCUGUAUACUAACUCCUUGGCGGAUACAAUAAAUGUAAAGAAAGAGAUACUAAGAAGGUGGAAAAACUAUUACCCGUAUAGCCAAAAAUAGCUUUCAGAGCUCGAUCUCCAUGGAGGCUGGUUUUUGACAAAUUCAAAAUUCAUAUGUUUACAUUUCAAAAAAUUCUGAAAAAAAUACGGACAAACAUGGAGGCAUAACACAUAUAUGUGUAAAUUUUAAAGACGAAAUACGUUGAAAUCAGGCUAUGCAAAAAAGACAAAUCCAUGAAUUUUCAACACAUGAUACUAUUCAUCCCAAAAGUCCAUGAGUUUGUUCUUUUUGCACAGAUCACAUAUCAAGGUAUUUGAUCCUGAAAUUUUACACACAUACACAUCACAUCCUUGUAUACUUCUACAAAUUUUUUCAGAUUUUUUUGAAACCGAAAAAAUGAAUUUUUAGUUUUUUUAAACCAAAAAGUCCGGCCUCCAUGAAGGCCAAGCUCUAAAAUGCCGUUCUCCUUUAUAGCUAACCUUAUUAUAUGAGUGACUACAAGUGAUGACAGUAUUCCAAAGCAGGCCAACCAGGCAGAUCCAAUGCCUUUGAAAUGCAUAGUGGCCAUUCGAAAACACUCCCAGAAACCAGGACCAACAAACGCAAGAAGGCGGGUAGGGAAAUAUAUAGAAAUCUAGUAAAACCCGUGGGAAGGGUGGAUGAAACGCUCGGCAGGACACGGUCUGUAGGGAAAUAUGAUCUUCUGUUCGACCUGGUGAAACACAAUGCCAGAUCAUUGUGUUUUGGGGUUAACAUGGCAUUACAAAAUUGAAAUCAAACGGUUACCAAGAUGGAUGGAUGAUGCCCUUGACUUUUGGGACUAUUGUAUUAUACCAUGAAUAUAGUGAAGUAAAUGUGCCCUAGAAGCAAUAAUAAAGUUGUUAUUUAUAUUUUCCUUAUGUCAUGAUAAAUGUUUAUUAUUCAUGCUAGAAUUGUAUUAACCGGAAACUUGAUACGUGUGUGGAUACAUAGACAAAACAUAGUGUCCCUAGUAUGCCUAUACUUGACUAGCUCGUUAAUCAAAGAUGGUUAAGUUUCCUGACCAUAGACAUGUGUUGUCAUUUGAUGAACGGGAUCACAUCGUUAGAGAAUGAUGUGAUGGACUAGACCCAUCCGUUAGCUUAGCAUAAUGAUCGUUACGUUUUAUUGCUAUUGCUUUCUUCAUGACUUAUACAUAUUCCUUUGACUAUGAUAUUAUGCAACUCCCGAAUACCGGAGGAACACCUUGUGUGCUAUCAAACAUCACAACGUAACUGGGAGAUUAUAAAGAUUCUCUACAGGUGUCUCCAAAGGUGUUUUGUUGGGUUGGCAUAGAUCAAGAUUAGGAUUUGUCACUCCGAGUAUCGAAGAGGUAUCUCUGGGCCCUCUCGGUAAUGCAUAUCACGAUAAGCCUUGCGAGCAAUGUGACUAAUGAGUUAGUUGCGGGAUGAUGCAUUACGGAAUGAGUAAAGAGACUUGCCGGUAACGAGAUUGAACUAGGUAUGUGGAUACCGACAAUCGAAUCUCGGGCAAGUAACAUACCGAUGACAAAGGGAAUAACGUAUCUUGUCAUUGUGGUUUGACAAUAAAGAUCUUCAUAGAAUAUGUAGGAACCAAUAUGAGCAUUCAGGUUCCACUAUUGGUUAUUGACCGGAGAUAUGUCUCGGUCAUGUCUACAUGCACUAGUAGAAAACAGGGCUUUGGUCCAGGCCGGGUCAGCCCAUUAGUCCCGGUUCAGUCCAGAACCGGGACCAAUGGGGGCAUUGAACCCGGUUCAUGAGCCCAGGGGGCCGGCCGGGCAACGUGGGCCAUUGGUCCCGGUUCAUCUGGACCUUUUGGUCCCGGUUGGUGGGACGAACCGAGACCAAUGGGCCUCGCGCCUAGCCCACCACCAUUGGUCCCGGUUGGUGGCUUGAACCAGGACCAAAGGCUCCCCUUUAGUCCCGGUUCAUGCCACCAACCGGGACCAAUGAGGUGCCUAUAUAUACCCCCUCGCGUAAGAGCAGAGCACACUGCUCUAUUUUUUCUGGCCGAGGGGGAGAGGGCUUGGUGGUGCUCUAGCUCACCUCCUAUGCACAAAAGGUGUUCGAUGGAAUGCCCGAGCCACAUUACUUAAGCUUUCUCCUCUCCAAGCUCGACCUCCAAGCUCCAUUUUCCACAAUAUUUGUGUAGGUUUAGCGGUCCGUCACGCCCCGUCCCCGUCUUCACCGCUGUCGAUCACCCGCGCCGAGCUCAUCGCCGGCACCACCGUGGUGAGCCUCUUGUUCUUAUCUUCUUUCUGAAAGGAAAAAUAUUCUUACUUGUAUGUUUACAUAGAUACUUGUAUUAUUUUCUUACUUUUAUUAUUGCAUCUUAUAUAGUGCGAUGGUUUUGGUAUCCGCCCCCGUCGGCCCUCGUCCUGUCUAUGAUUCGGAUGUGGUAUAUAUAUUAUCUUUAUAACUAUUGGUUCAUUUAUUGUUUAUGAAAAUUAUGCCGACCAACGUGACAUAGAUUUUAUUUAUGUAGGAUGUAUGUGAAUCGGAAAUGCCAACCGACCCUAUUGUCGAGAGGUUAAAUUUAGUUGAAGAAGAAAACAAUUUGUUGAAGGAAAAAAUAAAAAGAUUGAGGAGGAGAAGAUGAUAUUGGAGUUGCAUAUUGCGGAUGUCGUCGAUGAUCACAAGAUCAAGAUGGAUGCAAUGCGCUUGAAGAUUAGAAAGAUUAGAAAAUAUGCCAUUCAUACCAAGGCUUGGUAUCAUUAUGCCGUUGGAUCAAUUGUUACCUUGGUUGCGAUUAUGAUCGCAUUUGUUUUCGCAUUGAAAUGUUUUACAUAGUUUCAAUGUAUGGUUUAAUUAAUUAGAUGCUGUGGAGAGCUAUAUGUUGUUAGAUGAGAACUAUGUAUGCACUUUGGUUUUAAUGUGAUGAUGAACUUCUAUUAAUUUGGACACUUAAUUAUAUAUAAUGCACGCAGAUGAACCGGCAAUGGAUGUACGGUGACAGACACACCUACGAGUACAUUAAGGGCGUACAUGAGUUUCUUGAUGCGGCUGAGGCAAACAAGCAGAAUGGUUUUAUGUGUUGUCCAUGCACUGAAUGUGGGAAUACGAGGUCUUACUCUAACCGGAAAAUCCUUCACUCCCACCCACUUUACAAGGGUUUCAUGCCACACUAUAAUGUUUGGACGAGGCAUGGAGAAAUAGGGGUUAUGAUGGAAGACGACAAAGAAGAAGAGUACGAUGACAACUAUGUGCCCCCUGAAUACGGUGAUGCUGCAACGGGGGGAGCUAGUGAAGAUCAAGAGGAACCAGACGAUGUGCCCAAUGAUGCUGCAACAGGUGAAGCUGCUGAAGAUCAAGAGGAACCAGACGAUGUGCCCGAUGAUGAUGAUCUUCGCCGGGUCAUUGUCGAUGCAAGGACGCAAUGCAAAAGUCAAAAGGAGAAGCUGAAGUUCGAUCGCAUGUUAGAGGAUCACAAAAAAGGGUUGUACCCCAAUUGUGAAGAUGGCAACACAAAGCUCGGUACGGUACUGGAAUUGCUGCAGUGGAAGGCAGAGAAUGCUGUGGCUGAUAAAGGAUUUGAGAAGCUACUGAAAAUAUUGAAGAAGAAGCUUCCAAAGGAUAAUGAAUUGCCCGACAGUACAUAUGCAGCAAAGAAGGUCAUAUGCCCUCUAGGAUUGGAGGUGGAGAAGAUACAUGCAUGCACUAAUGACUGCAUCCUCUACCGCGGUGCAUACAAGGAUCUGAACGCAUGCCCGGUAUGCGGUGCAUUGCGGUAUAAGAUCAGACGAGAUGACCCUGGUGAUGUUGACAGUGAGCCCCCCAGGAAGAGGGUUCCUGCGAAGGUGAUGUGGUAUGCUCCUAUAAUACCACGGUUGAAACGUCUGUUCAAAAACGAAGAGCAUGCCAAGUUGAUGUGAUGGCACAGUGAGAACCGAAAGAAAGAUGGGAAGUUGAGAGCACCCGCUGACGGGUUGCAGUGGAGAAAAAUCGAGAGAAAGUACUGGGAUGAGUUUGCAAAGGACCCAAGGAAUGUAUGGUUUGCUUUAAGCGGGGAUGGCAUUAAUCCUUUCGGGGAGCAGAGCAGCAAUCACAGCACCUGGCCCGUGACUCUAUGUAUGUAUAACCUUCCUCCUUGGAUGUGCAUGAAGCGGAAGUUCAUUAUGAUGCCAGUUCUCAUCCAAGGCCCUAAGCAACCCGACAACGACAUUGAUGUGUACCUAAGGCCAUUAGUUGAAGAACUUUUACAACUGUGGAAUGGAAACGGUGUACGUAUGUGGGAUGAGCACAGACAGGAGGAAUGUAACCUAAAGGUGUUGCUGUUCGUGACCAUCAACGAUUGGCCCGCUCUUAGUAACCUUUCAGGACAGACAAACAAAGGAUACCACGCAUGCACACACUGUUUAGAUGACACUGAAAGUAUAUACCUGGACAAAUGCAGGAAGAAUGUGUACCUGGGCCAUCGUCGAUUUCUUCCGAGCAACCAUCAAUGUCGAAAGAAAGGCAAGCAUUUCAAAGGCGAGGUAGAUCACCGGAAGAAGCCCGCCAUGCGUACCGGUGAUCACGUACUUGCUAUGGUCAAUGAUUUACACGUAAUCUUUGGAAAGGGUCCCGAUGGACUAGCUGUUCCGAAUGACGCUGAGGAACACGCACCCAUGUGGAAGAAGAAAUCUAUAUUUUGGGACCUACCCUACUGGAAAGACCUAGAGGUCCGCUCUUCAAUCGACGUGAUGCACGUGACGAAGAACCUUUGCGUGAACCUGCUAGGCUUCUUGGGUGUGUAUGGGAAGACAAAAGAUAAACCUGAGGCACGGGAGGACCUGCAACGUUUGCACGAAAAAGACGGCAUGCCUCUGAAGCAAUAUAAAGGUCCUGCCAGCUACGCUCUUACGAAAGAAGAGAAAGAAAUCUUCUUUGAAUGCCUGCUCAGUAUGAAGGUCACGACUGGCUUCUCAUUGAAUAUAAAGGGAAUAAUAAAUAUGCCAGAGAAAAAGUUUCAGAACCUAAAGUCUCAUGACUGCCACGUGAUUAUGACGCAACUGCUUUCGGUUGCAUUGAGGGCGCUUCUACCGGAAAACGUCCGAUUAGCCAUUGUGAAGCUAUGUGCAUUCCUCAAUGCAAUCUCCCAGAAGGUGAUCGAUUCAGAAAUCCUACCAAGGCUAAGGAGUGAUGUGGCACAAUGUCUUAUCAGUUUCGAGCUGGUGUUCCCACCAUCCUUCUUCAAUAUCAUGACGCACGUCCUAGUUCAUCUAGUCGACGAGAUUGUCAUCCUGGGCCCGUAUUUCUACACAAUAUGUUCCCCUUUGAGAGGUUCAUGGGAGUCCUAAAGAAAUAUGUCCGUAACCGCGCUAGGCCAGAAGGAAGCAUCUCCAUGGGCCAUCAAACAGAGGAUGUUAUCGGGUUUUGUGUUGACUUCAUUCCUAGCCUUAAGAAGAUAGGUCUCCCUAAAUCGCGGUAUGAGGGGAGACUGACUGGAAAAGGCACUCUUGGAAGUGACUCAAUAAUAUGCAGAGACGGAUAUUCUUGGUCUCAAGCACACUACACAGUUCUACAGAACUCUACCUUGGUGACCCCGUAUGUCGAUGAACACAAGAACAGUCUGCACUCCAAACACCCGGAGCAGUGCGACGACUGGAUUACAUAUGAACACAUCAGGACUUUCAGCAGUUGGUUGCAAACACGUCUCAGAGGUGACAACACUGUUUGUGAUGAGUUGUACUUGUUGUCCAAGGGACCAUCUUUGACAGUAUUGACUUACAAAGGAUACGAGAUAAAUGGGAAUACAUUUUACACGAUCGCCCAAGAUCAAAAGAGCACCAACCAAAACAGUGGUGUCCGCUUUGAUGCAGCAACCGAGAGCGAAAAGUAUACAUAUUAUGGUUACAUAGUGGACAUAUGGGAACUUGACUACAGACCUGAUUUUAAGGUCCCUUUGUUUAAGUGCAAAUGGGUCAAUCUGUCAGGCGGCGGGGUACAGGUAGACCCACAGUACGGAAUGACAACAGUGGAUCUGAAAAAUCUUGGGUACACUGACGAACCGUUCGUCCUAGCCAAUGAUGCGGCACAGGUUAUCUAUGUGAAGGACAUGUCUACCAAACCGAGAAAAAGAAUAGAUAAGGAAGCGAAUACAUCAUACGAUGAGCCAAAGAGCCACAUAGUUCUAUCAGGAAAAAGGGACAUCCUGGGAGUGGACGGCAAGACAGACAUGUCUGAAGAUUAUGAAAAGUUUUAUGAAAUUCCUCCCUUCAAUGUCAAGGCUGACCCAAGCAUCCUGAUAAACGAUGAAGAUUAUCUAUGGUUACUGCGCAAUAAGCAAAUGACACAAGCGAAGAAAAAGUGAAGACUUUCUCCCGCAACUAUUAUGAUGAUACCAUGCCAACUUUGUAACACACGAGUAUGCUACCAUUGUCCGUUUUGUACAUGCACAUGCUAUGUGGGUGAAAUUAUGAUACCAUGCCAACUUUCAACUUUUUCAGAAUUCAUUUGAAAUGCUUUAAUGUCUUAUGGUUCGGCCCUCGUAAUAUCAUUAUUCAAAUUUUAACUAUUCAAAUUUGAAAACUAAUGGCACUAACAAAAAGUUUAUAAUUUUUUCUAAAACUGAUGGCACUAACAGAAAGUUUAUAAUUUUUCUGACCUAAAAGAAAAAAGAAUUAAAAAAUAAAGCAAAAAACAAAAGAAAAUAAAUAAUGCAAAAAACAAAACAAAAAAACAAGAAAAAAAACCAUUUUUAUAGUAAAGUUAAUCACAAACUUGUGAUUCACACAACUUUCAAAGAAUUCAAAUUUUAACUAUUCAAAUUUGGAAACUAAUGGCACUAACAGAAAGUUUAUAAUUUUUCUAAAACUAAUGGCACUAACAGAAAGUUUAUAAUUUUGCUGACCUAAAAGCAAAAAGAAUUAAAAAAUGCAAAAAACAAAAGAAAAUAAAUAAUGCAAAAAACAAAAAAAACUGAAAAAAGUAAAGUUAAUCACAAACUUGUGAUUCAAACAAAUUUCAAAGAAUUCAAAUUUUAACUAUUCAAAUUCGAAAACUAAUGGCACUAAUAGAAAGUUUAUAAUUUUUCUAAAACUAAUGGCACUAACACAAAGUUUAUAAUUUUGCUCCUCGCCCCUGGCCCAUGACCAUUAGUCCCGGUUUGUUCCACAAACCGGGACUAAAGGGUUGGUCCUCGUUGCACUCGGAGUUUAGUCCCACCUCGCCAAUCGAAGGGGGCUCACACCGGUUUAUAAGCCCUUCCCUCUCUACCUUGUUGAGCUCCUCUCAAAGUGAAAAUAGAUGCCCUAAUAGAGAAAAGUUUAACCUAAAUUCAGAGUGAAUUUCUCUGAAAUUCAUAGAAAUUUACUAUGAAUUUAGGUUGAAUUUUCUCUAUAAGCGCAUCUAUUCUCAUUUUUUAGUAAGUUAAUCACAAACUUGUGAUUCACACAAAUUUCAAAGAAUUCAAAUUUUAACUAUUCAAAUUUGAAAACUAAUGGCACUAACAGAAAGUUUAUAAUUUUUCUAAAACUAAUGGCACUAACAGAAAGUUUAUAAUUUUGCUAACCUAAAAGCAAACAGAAUUAAAAAUUAAAGCAAAAAACAAAAGAAAAUAAAUAAUGCAAAAAACAAAUCAAAAAACAGAAAAAAAACUAUUUUUAUAGUAAAGUUAAUCACAAAAUAGAAUAAAUAAAGAAACAAAGAAACUAAAAAAGUGUUUUCAAAUUUGAAAACUAAUGGCANNNNNNNNNNNNNNNNNNNNNNNNNNNNNNNNNNNNNNNNNNNNNNNNNNNNNNNNNNNNNNNNNNNNNNNNNNNNNNNNNNNNNNNNNNNNNNNNNNNNNNNNNNNNNNNNNNNNNNNNNNNNNNNNNNNNNNNNNNNNNNNNNNNNNNNNNNNNNNNNNNNNNNNNNNNNNNNNNNNNNNNNNNNNNNNNNNNNNNNNNNNNNNNNNNNNNNNNNNNNNNNNNNNNNNNNNNNNNNNNNNNNNNNNNNNNNNNNNNNNNNNNNNNNNNNNNNNNNNNNNNNNNNNNNNNNNNNNNNNNNNNNNNNNNNNNNNNNNNNNNNNNNNNNNNNNNNNNNNNNNNNNNNNNNNNNNNNNNNNNNNNNNNNNNNNNNNNNNNNNNNNNNNNNNNNNNNNNNNNNNNNNNNNNNNNNNNNNNNNNNNNNNNNNNNNNNNNNNNNNNNNNNNNNNNNNNNNNNNNNNNNNNNNNNNNNNNNNNNNNNNNNNNNNNNNNNNNNNNNNNNCCUCGCCGUCGCCUGCGUCGUCCCCUUCCCCGACGAGCGCCGCCCCGGCCCGCCGUCGCCGUCGCCCGCGCCCGCGCCGCCUACCCUGAGCACGCACCCACUGCCCCGUCGCCAUCCUCGCCGCCGACCCCACGGUCCUCCUGGUCCGGCCGGCGCCCUCCCUAGCUAGCAUUUUUUUCAUAUAUAUGCUUUUUUCCUUAUAUAUGCUUGUUUUUAUAUAUAUAUGUAUAUAUGUUCUCUGUGUAUAUAUAUGUUCAUGUAUAUAUGCAAAAGAUAGUUUUUUAGAAAAAUUAGGAUUUUUUUCUGUUCAUAGAUUUUUUUGGUGAUAUUAAUUAUUGUAAAUAUGAAAAUGUUUGUAUAUUCAUAUGAACAAUGAAUUAGGCAAUACUACUUCAUGUAUUUUUAAGAAGGAAGAAGAAGAAAAAGAAUGAGAGGAAAAAGGAAAUAAGAAGAGGAAGAAAGGAGAAGAAGAGGGGAGAGGAACACGAGGAGAAAUAAAUAAGAAGAAGAAAAAAGAAGAAAAAGAAGAGGAGAAGAAGAAAGGAAUAGAGGAGAAGAAGAGAAAAAUAGAAUAUAUAUUCUAUAUUCUAUAUUCUCUUUUCUCCUCUAUUCCUUUCUUCUUCUCCUCUUUUUUUGCUUCGACACGUGGGGGGGGGGUCGAUAUACCCCCUCCCGAUAACUUCAACAGGAGGGGGGUCGAUAUACCCCCUCCCCGAUAAUAUUAUUUUCCCAUGUACGUAUGUCAUGUCGAUAUAAACUCCCGAUAACUUCAUCGCAUUUUUUUUGUUCAUAUCUUUUUUCAUAGCAUUAUUUCCAUGUAUAUAUGUAUGUGGCUAUGUAUGUAUAGAUGGAUAGCAUUUUUUUCCAUGUAUGUAUGUCAUUGUCGAUAUACCCCCUCCCCGUUAACUUCGACAGGAGGGGGGGUCGAUAUAACCCUCCCCGAUAACUUCGACAGGUCGAUAUACCCCCUCCCUGAUAACUUCACAUGAGGGGGGUCAAGAACUAGUUUAGGGGGUCGAGGGUUGAGAACUAGUUUAGGGGGUCAAGGGCCGAGAACGUUGGACAUUCAUGAGAGAGGCGAGGAAGAAGGGGAAGAAGAGGGAGAAGAAGAGGAGAGGAAGAAGAGGAAGUCUUGUCCUCUAUUCUUUCUUCUCUUCUUUUUUCUUCUUCUUCCUAUAUGUAUUAGUUUUUUUAUUUAGGUUGUUAAUUAGUAGAUAUUAAUUUUGUUCAUAUAUGUAUGGAUGCAUGUGAUAUGUAUGUAUGUAUGUAUGUAUGUAUGUAUGUAUGUAUGUAUGUAUGUAUGUAUCGGGUAUGUCAUUGUCGAUAUACCCCCUAACCGAUAACUUCGACAUGAGGGGGUCGAGAGGGGGUCUAGGGUCGUCGAGGGGUCGAGGGUCGUCGAACAUGAGAGGAAGAAGAGGAUAAAAAAAAGAGGAAGAAGAAAAAAAGAGGAGAAGAAAGAAUAGAGGAGUUCUUCUCCUCUAUUCUUUCUUCUCCUCUUUUUUUUCUUCUUCUUCUUCCUCUUUUUUUAUCGGGAACGAGGGUCGUCGAGGGUUGCCGAGCGGUAGAGGAAACCCUAAAUAGCAAGUAUCGUCGGUGUUAGAUACAUGUGGCCGUCGGUGUCGGACAGUACAUCCACGUCCCACAAGUGACGCGGGGUUUGACGCCCACGUCACUUGUGGGANNNNNNNNNNNNNNNNNNNNNNNNNNNNNNNNNNNNNNNNNNNNNNNNNNNNNNNNNNNNNNNNNNNNNNNNNNNNNNNNNNNNNNNNNNNNNNNNNNNNNNNNNNNNNNNNNNNNNNNNNNNNNNNNNNNNNNNNNNNNNNNNNNNNNNNNNNNNNNNNNNNNNNNNNNNNNNNNNNNNNNNNNNNNNNNNNNNNNNNNNNNNNNNNNNNNNNNNNNNNNNNNNNNNNNNNNNNNNNNNNNNNNNNNNNNNNNNNNNNNNNNCGGUGUCGGACACUACAUCCACGUCCUACAAGUGAUGUGGGCGUCGAAGCCCGCGUCACUUGUGGGACGUGGAUGUACUGUCCAACACCGACGGCCACAUGUAUCUCCCACCCACGAUACUUGCUAUUUAGGGUUUCCUCUACCGCUCGGUGACCCUCGACGACCCUCGUUCCCGAUAAAAAAAGAGGAAGAAGAAGAAAAAAAGAGGAGAAGAAAGAAUAGAGGAGUUCUUACUCCUCUAUUCUUUCUUCUCCUCUUUUUUUUCUUCUUCCUCUUCUUUUUUUAUCCUUGAAGCGUUGUCGAGGCCACCCCAAACCCUAGAGAAGCAGCGUCGAGGCCACCCAGACCCUAGAGAAGCAGCAUCGAGGCCACUAAUUAAUAUUAGUUCUACGUUUGCCACUAAUAUAUCCAUCUGUCAUGUUUGAAUAAUAAUUGCCAUGUUGUCAAUAUUUGUAGAAACUAUGGACACCGCCCGAGACGAAGUACAAGAAGAGUUGUUGGGGGACAUAAUCACACAAGGAAGUGAUGCCGUCUGCUCAUUGUUUCUCAACGACACCGAUGGUCUGGAAGCAGCUGGCUAUGAUUAUGAUGGCUCCGGUGACCUAAUGCCGGUGCAAGAAGGAGACCGUGAGGACGGCUCCGGUGACCCAAUGCCGGUGCAAGAAGGAGACCGUGAUGACGUCUCCGGUGACCGAAUCGAGUCCGGCCAGGUAUAUAUAUUAGUUAAGCUUCUGCUGACUAGCUAAUUGAUGCAUUCAUUGUUUUGGUAUGUACACAUAUUAAUUAAGUCUUUGUUCUUUUUUCUAGCCCUACGGAUCGAGCACAACUUUGGUAAAGAGACAAGGCCCGAAGAAAAAGUUGAGCUCGGAUGAAAAGUUUGAGAUCAUAGCAAUCGCGCCCGACGGCCAACCGAUUGAACUCCUCCGGACAAAGAGCGCAUUUAUUGCUCAGUGUGGGGUUUUGGUUAGGGACAAGAUCCCGAUCAGCAUCCAGCAAUGGUUAAAGCCGGCUACAGAAGACCCUGAGGUGUCUUAUGUCAAUGAUAUGCAGAAAAAUGAUCUUUGGACUGAACUGAAGUCAAAUUUCACCCUACCGCCAGAGGAUGAUCAGGAGAAGCCAGUUAAAGAGCAAUUAGUCAAGUCUUUUGCUCUUAAAAGGAUGGCAGAACUAUUCAGGAGGUGGAAGAAAGAGCUGAAUAAGUUUGUUGAAAAUAAAGAGACACCAGAAUUCAAGGGCAGAUAUGAGAAGAUCAGAGAUCACUGGCCCGCAUUUGUGGCCCACAAGACAUCGGAAAAGAGUAAGAAGAUGUCGGCGACAAACAAGCAAAAUGCUGCGAAGAAGAAGCAUCACCAUCGCACGGGGUCAGGUGGCUUCCUCGUAGCCUGGCCUAAGUGGGCCAAGACUAAGAAUGAUCUGGUUGAUAAAGGAUCGAACCAGAGACAAUUAACUAGCCAGACCAUUGCCGGACUUGGUUCUUCGGGGCUGGCGGAACCUAGGACCCUGUAUCAGGAAAGUGCAUUUGGACGAACGAUCAAAUGGACAUACCAGUCAAGAAGCUUCAGCAGUAUAUCGAAGCAGUGCAGCAAGGGACGUUCUUUCCAGACAGAGAGAACGACGAGCUCACAAUGGCCCUCGGGAAUCCUGAGCACCCUGGACGGACACGAGGCACGCCAGGCUCCAUUCCGUGGAAGGUUGGGUUUCCAGACGCAGGCGGUUACAAAUGCCAGGAGAGGAGGAAAAAGGUGCGGCAGACCCAAAUGCAGGCGCUGCAAGCAAGGAUAUAAGCGAUAGAGAAACGAGAAGCAAAUCGCAGCAAACGAACUGCCGAAGCUUCCCCCGAAGCUACCCGGCCAUCUCAGCGGAGAAGUAGCGUGGCUUCCAGCGAGCUGCUUCAGCCGGAGCAUGCCUUGACGGCUCCUGCCAGCUAUCCCGUGGAUGCUAUCACGGAGUCUCAAAAUUGCCACCUUAUGACGCAAUGGAUGAAUUUGAAGGUCAAGGCGGCUGUUGGCUCUGUUUAUCCUACUGAACCCAGCACAACUUUUCACUGCCGGCCGAUUCCAGAAGGAUAUGCUAGGGUGAUGGUGGAUGAAAUAACGGAGGGAUUUGAGGACCUCCAGCUUGACCACCCUACCGGUGAAGGGGAGACUAGGCUGGUGACGGUGUCCUGGACUAGGGGGUACUCACCACGUCGUCUCCCGAUCUAUUAGAUUGGGCCGAGGACCCCCGUGGCCGUAUACUCAUGGGCCAGUUCAGACGGCUACCGCAUACAAGGAAGAUUCCACAAGACUUGGCGAUCAAGACAAGGACUUCUCCCCACCGGCUUAUUCGGCUAGGACUCUUGUUAUCCUAGGCCUCCGGUGCAUUAUAUAAACCGAGGCCAGGCUAGUCGAUAGAUAUACAAUAUAUACAACAAUCAUACCAUAGGCUAGCUUCUAGGGUUUAGCCUCCUUGAUCUCGUGGUAGAUCUACUCUUGUACUACCCAUAUCAUCAAUAUUAAUCAAGCAGGACGUAGGGUUUUACCUCCAUCAAGAGGGCCCGAACCUGGGUAAAACAUCAUGUCCCCUGCCUCCUGUUACCAUCCACCUUAGACGCACAGUUCGGGACCCCCUACCCGAGAUCCGCCGGUUUUGACACCGACAGCUGGGUUCUGCCCUGAAGACUCCAUGCCUAUGGCGGAAGGAGCUCAUCAACCUUCCGAACUGGACGCCUCCGCCUCCUCCUCCUCCUCCUCCGGCAAGUCAGGGCACUCCGCCUCCUCCACCGCCUCCUCCUCCAGCGAGUCAGGGCACUCCGCCUCCUCCACCGCCUCCUCCUCCGGCGAGUGACGAUCAGGGCACUCGACCGGCUCCUUCUCUGGCGCGUGGCGGCACUCCGUCUCCUUCUCCGCCUGCGCCGGCGCACCCGAGUAGCCAGCCUCCUCCUUCUCCGCCUCGUCAGCAAGGGAGGAAGAGACCUGCCGCCGCUCCGGCUUCUCCGGCGCGUCGUAGUCCUUCUCCUCCGCCUCAUAAGCAAGUAAAGAAGACAACCGCUCCGUCUGCUCUGCCGGCGUCUAGCAGUACAGCCAGAGGCGGGAGGACAUACAGAUUCGGUCCUUCUCUGAAGACUCCAGAGAAGUUACCAUAUGAGAGGACCCCGGAGGAGAACGCCGAGAUCGCACGAGAAGAAGUGAGGAACUACUUUGAAGGGGUGAAAGCAAAGAAACAUCCACCUCGAGAGGAGAAGGUAGAUCCGGUGAAAGCGAAGCGCACUCUGGCUGCCCUGACAAAACCACCCAAGUCUCCGCCGAAAGGAAACUAUGAGCGCGUUAUUGGAAAGGAAUUUGCCGAAGCGGAGCAGUCGGGAAGUACUGUCAGUGAUCAAAGGCUGAAAGAACGACGAGCUGGGAAACAAAUUGCCCAGCUCAGCGAACAAGCGAAGCAAUCGUGCCCCCCGCUCAAGGUGCCUUGUGACAUCGUCGCUAAUGAUCCGAGGAUGGUGCCCGGUUAUAGAAAUCUUGGUGAUUACCUGCCCGACGAUGUACAUUAUGAUUUCAUGGAGGUGCAGAUACAAAGAUACGAGUACGGGAAGCCUCUCGUCAAAGAUGAAAGAUCUCUAUCAACGAUGAUGCGAAGAUUGCAUGAUUAUUACUUGAAAAUCUGGAGAGAGUCUGGGGGGAGGAGUACUUUGUAUGUGAGAGUUAAAAACUAGCAUGACCUCGUUGGAAUUGAACUGUUGCCUGUUCCAUUUGAGGAGUUCUUUCAGUUUUUCAAUCAAUUGGCCCUCGAUAAAGCAACGGUCACCUGCUACUAUCUCUAAGUAGUACUACUUCUGUCAUUAAGUCUCUCUAUAUAGCUCAGCUCUUUCAUUGCAUGUAUUUAUAAGCAUCCUCACUAUAUUAUGCAGAUUGAAGAUCGCCAAAUUGAAGAACAGACAAGUCGGUGAUAUUGGGUUCAUUAACACAUAUCUCAUAGAUGCAACUGAGGUUAAAUUUCAUGCCGCAGAUACCGCGGCCAACUUGCAACGAUCGUUGGUAAUAAAUGAAAACAAAGAUAUAAUACUCUUUCCUUACAACUUCAAGUGAGUGUUACUAUCUUGUGCGUAUUCGGUUUCCCUUAUAUAUUAGUCAAGGUUAUAGUAAUGUAGUUGAUGAGUUAUGCAUGCGUGUGCAGUUUUCACUAUAUUCUCCUAGAGAUUAAGCUUGAGCAGGGACUAGUAACCGUCUUAGACUCAAGACGAAAAGAUCCCCAGGACUAUGCGGACAUGACUCAAAUGCUCGAGAAGUAAGUUAAAUCGAUCAUUAUCCACCAUAUCAGCAACUUUGUUCAUUUCCUGAUAUAUCAAGUAAUUGUUUUCUUUGUCUGGCAGGGUUUGAAAAAAAUUCACCAAAAAAGCUCCAGGACUCCCGAAGAAGCUGCAAUUUAGACACCCGAAAGUAAGUACUAUAGUAGCAUGUUCCGCGCAUCUCCUAUUGAUUCAAGUGCUAGUUUCAUCAAUACCAUUUGGCAUUCUUGCUUAUCAGUUUGAUUGACCUCUAUUUCUUGUAAAGUGGUUGUGGCAAGAACAAGGGAAUGAUUUCUGUGGAUACAACGUUUGCGAGUCCAUCCGCUACACGACCUGUGAGCGGGGCUACACUGACGAACAAUAUAAAGUACGUAAAUAACAACAUUCACAAUUUUAUUUUAUUACCAUCAUUUGUGUUGAGUUUCAUUCAUUCAUAUAUAUAUGUAUUGACCCCCUUCUUCAAAUUAGAUGUUUCGGAAGCAGGAUGAACUCCUAGCACCAGCUCGCAUGCGAGCAAUUCAAGAGGAAUUGGCGGCAUUCUUUCUUGACCACGUGAUCGCUGAAGACGGAGAAUACUAUGUGGACCAUGAGUCCGUAUGAUUAUAUUUUUAAGAGAUAAUUAUUGUAUAUAUGUAGCCGGUAGUGUCGGAUAGAUAUACGAGAACUUGUUGUUCGACCAAUCUCUCGGAGAAGGAGAGGUGGUCGAUAUCACUUCUCUCUAUAUGCAUAUAUGUUCAUGACGAUCUUCUGUUUCCUUCGUUUGCUUACUAGCUACCUAGCGUGUCUAGUCCUCUCUAUACGUAUGUAUAGUACAUAGCGUCGAACAAGCACGGACAUAAGAGAGGACACUUCGUUCUAUUAAUUAUAGCUAGCUAACACGAUANNNNNNNNNNNNNNNNNNNNNNNNNNNNNNNNNNNNNNNNNNNNNNNNNNNNNNNNNNNNNNNNNNNNNNNNNNNNNNNNNNNNNNNNNNNNNNNNNNNNNNNNNNNNNNNNNNNNNNNNNNNNNNNNNNNNNNNNNNNNNNNNNNNNNNNNNNNNNNNNNNNNNNNNNNNNNNNNNNNNNNNNNNNNNNNNNNNNNNNNNNNNNNNNNNNNNNNNNNNNNNNNNNNNNNNNNNNNNNNNNNNNNNNNNNNNNNNNNNNNNNNNNNNNNNNNNNNNNNNNNNNNNNNNNNNNNNNNNNNNNNNNNNNNNNNNNNNNNNNNNNNNNNNNNNNNNNNNNNNNNNNNNNNNNNNNNNNNNNNNNNNNNNNNNNNNNNNNNNNNNNNNNNNNNNNNNNUAAAAGAAAAACAAAAACCCCAGCCACAGAAAUGCUGACGCGUGGAUGCCUAUUGGUCCCGGUUGGUGCCACCAACCGGGACCAAAGGCCCUCCUGCCUGGGCUCCGCGCACAGGCCACGUGGAGGCCCAUCUGUCCCGGUUCUGGAUUGAACCGGGACUAAAGGGACAGGGCAUUAGUACCGACCCUUUAGUCCCAGUUCAAGAACCGGGACAAAUGGCCCUUACGAACCGGGACAACAUGCCCUUUUUCUACCAGUGAUAGUACUCGAACCCGUAGGGUCCGCACGCUUAAAAUUCGAUGACAAUUUGAUGAGAUCACAGACAUGAUGAGGAGUCUCGAAAUGGCCGAGAGGUAAAGAUUGAUAUAUUGAACGAUAGUAUUUGGACACCGGAACGGUUCCAGAUCAUUUCGGGUAUUUUUCGGAGUAUCGGGAGGUUACCGGAACCCCAUGGGGAAACUAAUGGGCCACUAUGGGCUUAGGGGAGAGAGGAGGCAGCCCACAAGGGGUGCCCCCCCAUGGGAGUUCCAAUUGGACUAGGGGAGGGGGCGGCGCCCCCCUUUCCUUCUCCUCCUCCCUCUCCUUCUCCCUUUUCCCCCUCCAUGAGAAGGAAUAAGAGGGGGCAAAUCCUACUAGGACUGGGAGUCCUAGUAGGACUCCCCCCACUUGGCGCGCCCCCUAGGGCCGGCCUCCUCCCUCUCCCUCCUUUAUAUACGUGGGCAGGGCAUCCCUUGGAGAUACAUCAAUUGUUCCAAGCAGUGUGCAACGUCUCCCUCCAUAGUUUACUCCUCCGAUCAUAUUGUCGUAGUGCUUAGGCGAAGCCUUGCGCUGAUCACAUCACCAGUACCGUUACCAUGCCAUUGUGCUGAAGAAACCCUCCCUCGACACUUUGCUGGAUCAAGAGUUCGAGGGACGUCAUCGAGUCGAACAUGUGCUGAACUCGGAGGUGCCGUACGUUUGGUACUUGAUCGGUUGGAUCGCGAAGGCGUUCGACUACAUCAACCCCAUUAUAAUGCUUCCGCUUUUGGUCUACGAGGGUACGUGGACACACUCUCCCCCUCUCAUUGCUAUGCAUCUCCUAGAUAGAUAUUGCAUGAUCGUAGGAUUUUUUUUGAAAUUGCAUGCUACAUUCCCAACAUAUAGAAUACUGCUAAUAUAUAUUGUUUUCUUGUAUCAUGAGCACACCGGUGCCUGUUGGCUUAAUAUAAUUCUUAAUCAAAUUUAUCGUCCCUAUUUUUCUAUAUCCAUUAUAAAUACUAAAUAUAUAGUUGUUGUAGCUGAGGACCGGAAUAAAUAAUUAAGUGCAGAUAGUGUGCAUGCAUGUUGAUCCAGUUGGCCUUUGUUUGGUAUUCACCUUGAAAGAUACACGCUUUCUGGUAGACAUCAAGGAAUCAGCAUUCACACUUGUGAGCGUUUACAUCUACUCGGUAGUCAAUAAUCACUUUUAAUUUAAGGCUAUAUCAAGCUUGCUCUGUCAGGGCAAGAGGUCUCACUCACCUUCAAACUCUCCAUCAUCAGCUGCUUUGUGGAGUUUGGUUUGAUACAUCCUACAUCAUCGUCCAUGGCAAACUGCUUCCAGAGGCCGUCGACGACGGUGCCCGCGGCCCUUAUGAGCGAGGACGAGAUCCUCCAGCCAGCCAACCUCAGAAGUUUCACCUUUAAGGACCUCAAUAAGGCCAUGAGGAACUUCCGGCCGGAUAGCGUGCUCCGUGGGAGCGGCUUUGGAUCAAUCUUGAAAGGGUGGGCUAACGAAGCCUCCUUCGCCCGGGCUAGCUCUGGCACUGGCAUGCCCAUCGCCAUCAAGAAGCUCAACCAGGAAAACUUCCAGAUCCAUAAGGAAUGGCUGGUCAGUGUUUCUCAGUGCCAACCAUUUUUUAACUCGGUGCCAAUCAAUUCCAAUUCAUUCUUGAAUCUGUUUCUCAACCUUAUGUGCAGGAUGAGACGAGUCACCUAGGCCGAUCGUCCCAUCCCAAUCUAGUGAAGCUACUAGGGUAUUGCCUCGAAGACGAGCAACACAUACUUGUCUGUGAGUUCAUGCCACAAGGAAUCUUGUAGAACCAUCUUUUCAAGAGUAAUUAACAGUUUACCACAUAAUCUUCUUCUAGCCACCACUGAUCAGUUAACACCUCCCAAAUUAGUUACCACUGGGGGUGAGAUAAUAACAAGUUUGGGCGAAUGAUGAUGUAGGGGCCUCACAUCUCCAACCACUGUCAUGGGAUUUGAGGGUGAAGGUUGCUCUUGGGGCAGCCAAAGGGGUCACAUUCCUCCACAGCGACAAGGCCAAUGUCAUCUGCGGUGAUUUCAAGACAUCAGACAUUCUUCUUGAUUCGGUAUGUUUCCGUUCUUUCAUUCUAAUUGGAUCGAGAAGACAAUUUGUUUUAUUAAUUCUAUUUUUGUCAAUUGAUGGGAUAUGGAUUGCAGAGCUACAAUGCAAAGCUGUCUGAUUUUGGGAAGCAAAAGGAAGAACCAACUAUUGAUCUGAGCUUUUAUAUUGAUGAAUUGCCGAGCUACUAUGCAAAAAGGCUGUCUGAUCUUGGGUUGUUGACUGGUAAUACAGAGCUUGGAGCUUAGUUAGUUUCUUUAAAGAAAUGAUCAGCUGCACAUGAUAUAUUUACAUACUUUGGUCUUUGCUGAAACACUUCUAUUCAUUUUCUAAAACCUCCAAUUUAUAGUGUAUAUUUAUAUACUAAAAAGGCUAUGAAGUUUGAGCAUCAUAGUUUGCUUCUCAGGGUUGAAUGAUGUUGUUGUGAUGCAGUAGCUUGUAAGUAUGGUUGUUAUGAAGCACUACGAGAAACAUCGAGGACGCUAUUAAAUUUUUGGGUUGGUUGUUGAGGUCUUGAUGAGGUCAAAUUAGUUAGGUACAACUCAACUGCUCCAAUAUUUUUUAUGGUUUCAGACCUAGCUGGACCCUUUCACCAUAUGAUAUAUUGUCUAUAUGCGCUUUAACUUUAGGGAGUAAGAGCCUAAGAGGUGAUCGAUCUAUAAAAGGAUCCAACACAAACUUGCAGCUAGAUAAGCAUCCAUGUACUUUCUACCAGCCGGUCAACGGCCGGGAAUGAGCAGUGUAGUGCGAUCCUCAUACAAUAUUGCUAAUGUGUUGCCCUUUAUCGAAAAUAAUUUUGCUAAUGUUUUUUUUAGAANNNNNNNNNNNNNNNNNNNNNNNNNNNNNNNNNNNNNNNNNNNNNNNNNNNNNNNNNNNNNNNNNNNNNNNNNNNNNNNNNNNNNNNNNNNNNNNNNNNNNNNNNNNNNNNNNNNNNNNNNNNNNNNNNNNNNNNNNNNNNNNNNNNNNNNNNNNNNNNNNNNNNNNNNNNNNNNNNNNNNNNNNNNNNNNNNNNNNNNNNNNNNNNNNNNNNNNNNNNNNNNNNNNNNNNNNNNNNNNNNNNNNNNNNNNNNNNNNNNNNNNNNNNNNNNAGGAAUGCCACGAAGAAACGUCCUCCUUGUCACAUAUUGCCAUGAGACGGUGUGACCAGAGAUCCAAGUCAGAAAUAAGGGCCCUGAGGGUUAUUACAUAACAUUGAUCAAUAUUUCUAAACAUCAUAUCAUUAUGUGCUGCCCAGAUCUUCCAUAAGAGUGACAUGAGGACCAGUGGCCAUGCCUUGUUCGGAAGGUGAUGCGGUAGAGGAGUAUCCCAAAGGUUGGCGAUGUCGUCCGUCUGAGGCAGGAUACCCAUGCGUUGCCAGACCCGGCUGGCAAGUGGGCAGGUGAUGAUGAAAAGGUGCAUGGAGUCUUCAGGUAAUAUAGCACAUCGAGGGCAUGUGUCAGUGGAGAUGAUGUGCUUGUGAGCGAGGUUGGCCCUGGUAUUGAGGCGGUCCUUGAAGAGGAGCCAAGCCAAAAAAAAUAUCUUGCCUGGAACCUUGGAUCACCAUAUGAGGGGAGCAAGGGGAUCGUUGUUAGGCCAUACCAUGAGGGCGCCGUACGUGUGCUUGGUGGAGAAGUUGUGUCCUCGAUGUAGAAAUCUUUGGUCUUCCUCUACCGAAGGAACGAAGUCCUGCAAAAUAGCCAACAACAAAACAAGCUCUUGCUCUGCCAGAAGGGAGAGACAAUUAUGGAGGUUAGCUUCUAAACCGUAACACAGUAUAUUAGCCACUUUAAACAACUGAAGGGUGGAGUGUGAGAAGAAGUGGGGGAAGGAGGAGGCUUGAGGCAUUGGGGUUAACCAAGUAUCAAGCCAGAAGUAAGUAUCUGACCCACUGUUUGUUAGGACGAAUGAGAUUGUGUGCAAGGUGGGGAUUUGCUGAGCAAUGGUGCAGCAGAGGAAAGAGGUUUGUGGGGAAGAGGAGACUAGUGCGUUUGGGUGUUGAAGAUCUAACCACUCUAGCAAAGGGGCCGAGACAGAGGUCAAGGCCUUGGCUGCGAAUUUCAUGAGUAGGCAGUUGUUCUGAAUAUGAAUGUUUUUUAGCCCUAGACCACCGUAUUUCUUCGCCACACACAUGUUUUUCCAUGCAAUAAGGCAUUGAGCUCGUGAACAAGAAUCCUCUCCCGCCCAGAAGAAAGCCCUACGGAGGGAGUCUAUGGUUUUGAGGACCUUUUUUAGAAUGUGGAAGACCGACAUGAAGGAGGUGAUGAGGGAGUCUAGGAACAUGGAGAUGAGAAUGAGAUGAUCACCUUUGUCUAGCAGUUUGGCUCGCCAUCCUGUCAACAACUUGCCAGAGAGUUCUAACAGUGGAUCAAAGGCAUUGGAUGGUGGUUUUGUAGGGGAGAGAUGUAGGCCGAGGUAUGUUUGGGGGAAGGGGGCGCGUGAGCAGCCCAUGACAAGAGUGGUGGCAUUAGCUAUGGUGUCAUAUGUGUGGAGAGUGGCUAGAGUGGUUCUGGAGAAGUUGAUGAUCACACCUGUAGCAUUCGCAAACUAGUUUAAGAUUACUUUGAGAGCUGCAGCGGCAAUAGGGGAGGCAGUAGCAAUGAUGAGUGUAUCAUCGGCGUACUGAAGAACAGUGGGAGGUAGGUGUGAGAAAAUGGGGUGGUGGAGAGCAGCCUCCGUGUUCUUGAAGAUGAGUUGCUGGAACAGGUCUACGACGAUGAGAAAGAGGUAGGGAGAGAUCGCCUCACCUUGCCGCAGGCCAUUUUUGCAUUCAAUCCAAUUGCUUGGAACACCCACUAGUCCAGAACCGGGAUGUAUCACCGGUUCAUAAGGCCCUUUAGUGCCGGUUCUGCAACCGGCACUAAAGAGUGGGGACUAAAGGUCCCCCCCUUUAGUACCGGUUCUGCAUGAACCGCCGCUAAAGGGCCACCACGUGGCACGAGCCAGCGCCGAGGGCGGGGAGCCCUUUAGUACCGGUUGGUAACACCAACCGGUACUAAAAUAUUUUGGGGAUUUUGGUUUUAUUUUUUAUUUUUCCUUUAAUUUUGUGUUUUCCAUUUAAUUCUUUUUUGUUUGCUGGUAUUUUACGAUACUACAUAUUGUGACUAGAUAUCGAUAUGCAUUUGUAUUAGUUAUGUGACUAGAUAUCGAUAAUCACAUAAAAAUUGUGAAUAGUGUUCUCGCAAAUGUACCCAUUCCUGUCUUUGAGUUUUGCUCCUUUCGGACGCCAUCAUGCGAAUGUUCUCGAAAACAUAGUAUGCACACACAUCAGUCCCCAGCACCUGCUUCAGGGCCUUUACGAGAAUAGAAUUUAAUCAGAUUAUAAUUAAUCAAGCAUGAUAAUUAAUUAAUAGUAUUGAAACAAGAAUUAAAAAGAUAGUAGCUAGUCAGUACUACUUAAUUACUGACCUUGGGUCGAUACCACAACAACUUUUUUCUCCAUUUGCCUGGAGUCACUUGAUGAACUUUGCCCAAGCCCUGCCCGCCGGCAAAGAAAAUUAAUAAAGGGGUUAUUAAAUAGUUGAUAUCAGGAAAUGAUGAACUAAAUAGGCCGAGAUUUAGUUAAUAAUGAUUGAAAUUACCUAUCGAGUAUCCCCUUCACGAUGGUGAAGUCACUUUCUUUCUUAAGGAGUUAGUCCAGUACUUCAACUGUUCCUUCUUCAACUUUAAUGUCUAACAAGACCCAGUGGUAACUGCAUGCGCACACGUUUGCAUGUCUUAAUUAAGCGGGCAUGUGCAUAACACUAAUCAACUACCCUAAACCCUAUACACUUAAUUAUUAACAUCUAGCUAGCUAGUAAGCAAAUACAGAAUUUGCAGUACAAGACAGUGUGACUCACCGGAAGUUGUAAGGAAGUAGUAUAUCUUCAUUGCUAUUGAGGCGCUUCAAGAACUCUAGCAUUUUAUUCUCUACAUCUUGUUUAUAAUAUUCAUAUGUCCAUGUCUGUUCAUUAAUGGUAUUUGGUCAAUGAACCCAAUGCCAUAGCGUCCAGCUUUUUUCAUUUCAUACAUCUUCAUCCUGCAUAAUACCACAAAAAAGAAUAUAGUGAGGAUAAUUACGGGUAAUGAUCGAUCAAUGAGCACUAAAUCUAGCUUGAGACUUCAAUUACAGAAAGAAAUCACUUACAGAGAAUAGCAACGGAUGAGAGAUUUGUCAAGUGCAUCUUGAUUGAAUAACUGAAAUAGUUCUGAAUACUCAACGGAUAGAGCUAGCUUAUGGAAGUAAUGCGCUUCCUUUACCUUCACCAUGAGGGACUCUCGAUUGGAACUCUUGGUAAUUUUCAUGUACCAAUCAUGCAAUUCAUACAUUCUCGUUGGGAGGUUCUUGACCUCCUUGGCUCGACCAAAGUUUGGCGAGGGACAUAUUUCCGUUUUAUUUCCUCCUCUCUAAGUGGAGACAUGGGCUCGAUCUCGAGGAGUUGUCCAACAUUGAUAUUGAGAAUUUGAGCCUGCAUUAUAUGCUCCUCGGUUAUUACCAGAUUGCCCAGCUGGGGAACGGUUUGCCCACAUCUAUAUAGGGCGGCCGUACUCUCAUGUGUUGUUGGCACAACAAGCGGGGGGACUGACUGCGCCGCCUGUUCUCCCAGCUGGGGAACGGUUUUCCCGCAUUUUUGCCAGCUGCUUGGCUCAAGCUCGAGCUCGACUACUUCUGUAGUCGUGCUCGAUGUGCCUUCCUAAUUUGGCGCUCAUAGUCUGAGUCAACAGGCUUGGGAGCUGGUGGUCUAGACAUACGAAUGAAGUGGUCAAUAUUUUCCUCACGCACUUUCUCCCUUGGCGGCGGUGCCGGUUUCAGUCCAAAAUGGGCGUCCACUUGGGCCUGCACUAUGGCUGCAUUUUGCUCCUCGGUCAUGUCGUAAGGCCUCUGACGAAGAGGAGUGAGUCUUGGACCAUAUUUAUAUCGCUUACCUCCACUUGUACCUCCUGGACUACCUCGACUCAUAGCGCUACGCACCAUAGCUGCGGCGGCUCUCUUCUGCGACUGCUGAGGCGGCGGAGGCGGCUGACAUGGCUGAGUUGGAGUAGGAGGAGUGGCCUGAUGUUGUGCCUGACUUGGAGGAGGAGGAGUGGCCUGACGCGUUGGUGGACUUGGAGGAGCGGGAGUCUGCUGACGCGGUGGCGGACUUCGAGGAGGAGUCUGCUGACGUUGUGCCGGACUUGAAGCAGGAGGAGUGGCCUGACGCUUUGCCGGACUUGGAGGAGGAGGAGUGGCCUGACGCUUUGCCGGAUUUGGAGGAGGAGGAGUGGCCUGACGCGGUGGCGGAUUUCGAAGAGGAGUCGGCUGACGCGGUGUCGGUGGCCUUACAAAGAUGAUGCAAUCCUUUCUCCAUAGGAUGAUACGAUGUUUGGCCUCUCCCAGUGUGUGCUCCUCGUCACCUCCAGGAAUAUCAAGCUCUAGGCCCGAAUAUUGGUCCACCACUUCAUCAACCUGGACAAGAGCAUAGCCGGCUGGAAUCGGGUUGCAAUGGAAGGUUGCAUCGGGGGAAUUUUUAUAAGCAAUGGUGUCCGCCACCUUCAUGGGUAUGUUCUUCAUUUUGAAGUGUAGCUCACAGUUAGUGCUCUCCAUGAUGUCAUCCACAUGGUAUCUAUCCAGCAGUGCGUCGCCCGGGGCAGAACCAACACUGCUUCUUGGCAUGGAUGGGAUGGUGAUAUCCAAUGUUGGAUCAUCCGCUAGCUGCUGCCGCUGCUGAGACCCUCUUUCCUGGCUAAGUGAGUAGAUCUGUUGCUGCCGCCGCUGGAAUUUGAGUGCCAAGUCUGCAUGCGCUGAUUCUAGGCCUUGAAGGCGUUCUGCUUCCUGCUUCCUCUGCUCCUCCUCCAGCUUCCUCUUCUUCUCCUCCUCCAUCCUCCUUCUUGCACGGGUUUUGUAGUCGGCGUUCCAGUCCGAAAAGCCCUCAUACCACGGAACAACGCCCUUGCCUCGUGUUCUUCCUGGGUGUUCAGGAUUUCCCAGGGCACGCGUAAGCUCGUCAUUCUCUCUGUUUGGCGUGAACACCCCCAUUCGAGCAUCUUCUAUUGCUUGAAGUAACUUAUCUUCGGCUCCUUUUAGACUUGCCUUCUUCGAAAUCAGGCCUGUCUUCGGGUCCAACGCCCCCCAUGCGCAUAGAACCAAGUUCUGCACCUGGGGGUCCAUCUCCUAGUAACUGGAUUGACCCCUGCAUCCAGCAUCUCUUGCUCAGGCUUAUCCCACUUAGGCAUUGCCACCAUGUAGCCACCUGGCCCAGCCUAUGGAACUGCGUCUUUUUUGCGGCAUUGGCCUUGUUUUUUCUCGACCGUUCCUUAGAUAAUUUUGAUUCCUUGAAUUUCACGAAAGCGAGCCAGUAUUCUCUUUGCUUCUCCAGUGUUCCCUUGAAUUCUGAAGUCUUCCUUCCUCCUUCGACGUGUUGUCCCACAUAGUUUUCUUGUGGGUGUUGAAUGCAAUUGCCAUCUUCCUAAGAGCAGCGUCCUUGACUUUCUGCACAUCUGCAUCAGUGAAAUGAUCUGGUAGGGUGAAAUGUUCCAUGAGAGAUUCCCAAAGCUUUUUUUUGCACUGUCGCCAACCCAAGUAACAUAUGGAUAUUUAUGUUUUGGCUCUUUCCAUUCUUGAAUGGAGAUCGGGAGUUGGUCCUUCACAAGAAGUCCACACAGACAAAUGAACUUGUACGCAAUGUUCUUAGGCGUGAUUGGUUCGCCAUUAGGUUUGAUGGCAUCGAUGUUGUACUUUACACCGUCCUUCAACUUUUUGCCCGGGCCUCGCUUUGUCCUGCUGUCUGUAAAAGCAGAUUUGCUCGAUCCGGAGGGCUGAAAGAGGAAAUAUCGAUUCGUUAAUAUAUCUGCAAAUCAAAAAACAUGUGAUGAUCACCAGAUGCCUGCUUAUAUAAAUAUACCUCGCCGUUCUUUGUUAUUUCAAGAUCAACAUUGUCCGCGUCAUCAUAAUCAUAAUCAUAGUUCAUGACUUCAUCAAUUCGGUCGUCGACAUCGAAUAUCUUAUCAUCACCCUCCCCGGUAUUGUUCAGAUAUUCGGAGCCGUCAUAAUCUUCAUUCUGAUCAUCUGGCCCGCAAGGGGCGCGUAUGACCUCGAACAUGGUCUCUUCUCCCUCUCUGCCGGUAUUGUCCGCCAUAGCUUUUAUUUAACUAAUCCAGAAGAAAUAUAAAACAAUUUAGUAUUCAAAUUACAAUGCAUGGAUGCAAUCAAUAAGGAAAAAUUGAAUCAUAGUACAUAAUAUGCAUCAUCUCGAAUAAUAUAUAAUCUCGAAUACAUCGUCUAGAAUAAUAUAUAAUCUCGAAUACAUUGUCUCUAAUAAUAUAUAUAAUCUCGAAUACAUCGUCUCGAAUAUUAUAUAUUGAAUACAUCACUAGCUAGCUAGCUAAUAAAGAUCGAAUACUACAGAAGAAUCUAGGCCACUCGCGGUUCCUGAGGAGCGGGCGGUGGACACCCAAAGAGAAGGAACCAUCACAGGAUCAUAUCUCUAGUCAUCUGCCCAAAGAACCUGCCAGGUAUUGGAGAACCUGACGUCCAUAGCAGCCAUGUAGUGACGGACGUGCUCGUCCUCCUCCCUGACACGGUGACGCACCACCUCCGGCGGGGCCGGCUCCCUUUGCACCGAAUGUGGCCCACACGAAUGCCACCAAAGGAGAUCAGGGUCGACGACAGGACCCAGGGCCGGGUUUCUCACCAAGCGGCGUGCCCCAGAAGGUAGCACCACCCAGUGCCAGCACGGCGGAGCCCAGUCUCGGACAUGGGUCCUCUGAAGCAGGACAUCGUCGCGAACGGGUUGACGGCGAUAAUGCGGGCCGGGCAUUGUCGAAAACAAAUACUAUAUGCCCGCAAAAGGUAACAUUUUUUAAAUUAUUGGAUAAUGAUAACUAAAAUUCUAUAUGCAAAUUCUAAUUUUUUCUAUAACUAAAAUUAUAAGAAACUAAAAAACAUCGAUCAUCGUCUAACAAUUUGACAUUAAUUUAAUUCAUCUAGCUAAAACUAACAUUUCUAAAAUUUCUAACAUUUCUAUAUAACUAACAUUUCUAUAAAUUUUUUAAUAUUUCUAUAACUAAAAAACAGAAAAAUUUCUAACAUUUCUAUAACUAAAAACAGAAAAAUUUCUAAAAUUUCUAUAACUAAAAAAUAUAAAAAAUACUAACAAUUUUACAACUAAUUAACAAUGUGUGUGUGUGUGGACAUGGCGGCUGGGGCAAGAGCUCACCGGCGAGGCGAGGCGAUGGGGGCGGCAACAGGGACGGCGACGGGCGACGACGCGGAUGGCGACGACGGGGACGGGGAUGGGGCGGCGACGACAGUGACGGGGACGGGGCGGCGACGAGGGCAUCAACUGGGGCGUCAUCGAGGGGUGGCGACGGGGGGCGGCGGGCGACGGGGCAGAGGAGAAGAAGCAGAUAAAAACUACCGAAAUUUGUAAAUGCUGCUUAUAUAGGAUGGGUCUUUAGUACCGGUUGGUGCCACAAACCGGUACUAAAGGUCAGUACUGGUUGGUGGCACCAAUUGGUACUAAAGACACCCCCUUUAGUACCGGUUGGAGCCACCAUCCGGUAUUAAAGGGUCUGCGCUGCCAAGCGAGGAGCACAAAGUUUAGUCCCACCUCGCCUAGCGAAGGGCAGCCGCACUGGUCUAUAAACCCAGCCGCGGCUGCUCCGUCGAGCUCCUCUCCAAAGCAGGCCUUCUGGGCCUACUUGUUUUUUUUGCUUUAUUUAUUUUCUUUUAUUUAUUUCUGGGCCUUGCGGGCCUGCAUCCUGACCCAAUAACAUGUUGGGUUCUGGACCUUGCGGGCCUGCAUUUCUUUUAUUUAUUUUUUUGCUUUAUUUAUUUUCUUUUAUUUAUUUCUGAGUUGUUUUUGCUGUAUUUAAAGUUUUUUUGUGAAUAUUUUUUCUUUAUGUACAAAAAAUUACAAACGUUCUGUUAGUGCCGGUAGUUGUCAAAUUUGAAUAGUUUAAAUUUUGAAUUAUUUGAAAUUUGUGUGAAUCACUAGUUUGUGAAUAACUUAACUUUAAAAAUACAUUUUCAGUCAUUCUUUUUUCUUAUGUUUAAUAUUAGUGUGUUUUAUCAUUAUAUUGAAUUUGGUAAUGCUUAGGUUAUUUAAAAAAUGAAAUGCCUUUGUAACAGAUGAGUUUUCGUCCGAAACCCUGAUACUUCGAAAAAGAUUGUCCAUUUUGUACAGGAAGUGCAUCCAGUUUUUGCCAGAACCCUCUCUACUUUUUUGUACAUGCUAUGUAGGUGAAAUUAUGAUACCAUGCCAACUUUCAACCUUCUCGGAGUUCAUUUGAAGUGUUUUUCAAUUUCAGGGUCAUUUAGCCGAAAAAAAUCAAUAAAUGUAUGAAAGAAUUUGUUUGCAAAUAAAAUUUCUUCGCGUUUCAAAUGCAUAACACAUAACUACCCUAACUAUUACAGAGAUUCCCUCCUGGGUGUGAAACACAGAAGAAAGUGAUGAUAGUGAAGCCGAUCACAUCCCAGAUCUAUGGGUGUGAAACUUUUUCUUCGCGUGUGUCCCUUUGCGCUGUAACCAUGGAAAAUCUUCAUCAUUUAACUGGAUGCUCGGGUCAAUAUUCACUAUGAAUGGAGCAAUUUCAUCAAAUUUUUCAUAAUCUUCUGACAUGUCUGUUUUGUCAUCCACUCCCACAAUGUUUCUCUUCCCAAAAAGAACUAUGUGGCGCUUUGGCUCAUCGUAUGAUGCAUUCGCUUCCUUAUCUUUUCUUUUUCUCGGCUUGGUAGACAUCUCCUUCACAUAGAAAACAUGUGCCACAUAAUUGGCUAGGACGAAUGGUUCACUGCGACCCGUCAGCAGGUACUCUAAACUUUCUGUCUUUCUUACGAUCUUCUCUGUGCCAUCGCAUCGCCUUGGCAUGCUCUUUGUUUUGGAACAAACGUUUCAAUCGUGGUAUUAUAGGAGCAUACCACAUCACCUUGGCAGGAAUCUUCUUCCUGGGGCACUGGCCCUCGACAUCACCAGGGUCAUCGCGGCUGAUCUUAUAGCGCAAUGCACCGCAUACCGGGCAAGCGUUCAAAUCCUCGUACUCACCGCGGUAGAGGAUGCAAUCAUUAGGGCAUGCAUGUAUCUUCUACACCUCUAACCCUAGAGGGAAGACAUCCUUCUUUUCUUCGUACGUACUCUCGGGCAAUUCGUUGUCCUUUGGAAGCAUAUUCUUUAUCAUUACCGGCAACUUUCCAAAUCCCUUGUCAGAUACACCAUUCUCUGCCUUCCAUUGCAGCAAUUCCAGUGUGGUGCCCAGAUUUUUCUUGUCAGCUUCGCAAUUCGGGUACAACAAUUUCUUGUGAUCCUCUAACAUGCGCUGCAACUUCUUCUUCUCCAAAUCACUUGCGCAGUUUGUCUUUGCAUCGGCAAUGGCCCGACCUAGAUCAUCAGUGGUCUCAUCAGAUGCCUCUUCCUCAGCUUCUUCCCGUAUUGCCGGCUCAGCUUCUCCCCCCAUUGUUGUAUCAUCGUAUUCAGGGAACCCAUGGCCAGGAUAGCUGUCAUCGUCCUCUUCUACUUCAUUGUCUUCCAUCAUAACCCCUCUUUCACCGUGCUUGGUCCAAACAUUAUAGUGAGGCAUGAAACCGGACUCAAACAGGUGGACGUGAAUGGUUCUUGACUUAGAGUAAUUAUGAUCAUUCUUACAGCCAGCACAUGAACAAGACAUAAAACCAUCCGCCCGCUUGUUUGCCUCAGCCGCAAGCAGAAAAGUUUGCACGCCAUUAAUGAACUCGGGAGAGCAUGGGUCAUUGUACAUCCAUUGUCGGCUCAUCUUUAUUACACAACACCGAAAAGACCAAAUUAAUACAAGUUCAUACAUAAAGUUCAUACAACACUUAAAUGCAACAUAUAAAUAGCUCUCUAGCUAAAGAAUUUAAAUGCAACAACAAAUGCGAUCAAGAUCGUAACUAAGGUAACAAUUGAUCCAAUAGCAUAAUGAUACCAAGCCUCACUAUGAAUGGCAUAUUUUCUAAUCUUUCUAAUCUUCAAGCACAUUUUCUCCAUCUCGAUCUUGUGAUCAUCGACGACAUUGGCAACAUGCAACUCCAAUUCCAUCUUCUCCCCCUCAAUUCUUUUCAAUUUUUCUAUCAAAUACUCGUUUUCUCUUUCAACUAAAUUUAACCUCUCGACAAUAGAGUCGGUUGGAAUUUCCGGUUCACAUACCUCCUAGAUAAAAAAAUCUAUGUCAAUUUGAUGGGCAUAAUUUGUCAUAAACACAAAAGGCAAUAAAAUAGUUAUAAAAGAAAAUAUACCACAUCCGAAUCAUAACCCGGAUGAGGGCCGGCGGGGAUGGAUAUCAAAACCAUGGCACUAUGAAUAACAAAUAAUGUACGGUUAAGAUAAUUAUACAAGUAACUAUAUAUCUAAAUCACACAAACAUGAAUUUUUAUAUAAAAUAGAUAAGAACAAUAGGUUCACCAGAAGGUGGUGCCGGCGACGGGACGGUGCGGGCGAUCGACAAUGGUUACGACGGAGAUUUAGAAGGCACUAAGUAAACCACACCUACAUAUUCAAACUAAGUGUUAUUUCGACCUCAAAUUCCAUAUAAAUCAAAUACUAUCACAUAUAAUUCCUCCCAAAUUACUAAAACCCACAAAUUAAUCACUAUGUAAACCAUUGCAAGAGCUAAUCUAGCAAUGAGAGAUGAAAGGACAAAGUUGCUAACCUUUAUGAUCAUUUGAAUGGAUGGGGGGCCUUCAAAUCUUGACAAAAUUUGGGCAAAUUUUGUGAUGAGCUCGAGAGGAAGGGAAGAACAGAGGAGAGGGGAAAGGGGGAAGAACCGAGCUCGGGUGGACGAAGGGUUUAUAUAGGACAACCUUUAGUACAGGUUCGUGGCACGAACCGGUACUAAAAGUGCUGGUGGGGCCCCAAACUGACAACAUCUUGCCACCACUCUCAUUACUACCGGUUCGUGGCACGAACCGAUGCUAAAAGUUUGGCAAGAACAGGUACUAAUGAGAGCGGCCCAGCUAGUGUUGGAACCGGCACUAAUGGACACAUUAGUGCCGGCUCAAAUUCAAACCGGCACUAAUGAGAUGAACAUUUGACCCUUUCAGGAGUAUGGCAGUUUUUCCCAUGUGAAGAAUGUUCCGGAUCCAGUGACGGAAAGUUUGGGAGAAAUCACAAGCGAGGAGAAUCUUGUCAAGGGCAGGCCAUGCCACGGAGUCGAAGGCUUUACGAAAGUCCAGUUUGAAGACCAUGGUAGGCCUUUUUCUAGUGUGGCAGGAGCUUAUGAGAUCGGUUGCAAAGACAUAAUUCUCAGCAAUAUUCCUGUUGGAGAUAAACCCAGUCUGAUUUCCAUGUACUAACAAAGGUAUGAGUGGCUUGAGACGAGAGGUUAGGACUUUUGCGACAACUUUUGUUGGGCAGUUCUAGAGCGUGAUGGGUCGGAAGGCAUCAGGAGAGGUAGGCAUAUCCUUUUUUGAAAGAAGUAUGAUGUGGGCACGGUUAAUGUGUUCCGUAUCUGCCACACCUUGAUGCAAUUGGGAGAAGAAGGGGAGGACGAGGCUUUUUACUUUGGGCCAGUAUGUUCUGUAGAAGGAGGGCCCAAACCCAUCUGGGCCAGGGCUAGCCUGGGGAUUCAUUUGGAAGAAAGCAUUUUUUAUUUCUGCUUCCGAGAAUAAUUCAUUCAAAUAUGGAGGUCGGCCACAGGGUGAGGGUAGAUAGCGUUCAGGUCAAAGGACCGGGAUGUUUUUGUUGGUGUACCAUUGAGGGAGACGAAGAAAUCACAGAGGAUCUUGGCUUUUUGGUGGUGAGAUGUGAAGUCAUGACCAUCCCGAGUGAGAGUAAAGAUUUUGUUCUUCCUAAGGCGUUGCGUGGCCGACAUGUGGAAUAAUUUUGUGUUUUCUUCCCCAUUGAUGGCCCAAGAAACCUUGGCACGCCAUCGCCAGUACGUCAUUUUCUCCUAUAUUGUGCAUUUGAGAAGCGAGACGAUGAUCUUGCAAGUAAGGAUUUUGGAUUGUGAUAGAGCUCUGAGUUCUUCGGCAUGAUCUAAGGCCGAUAUGGCAGAUUUGCAACGAGAUUCAUAGAGAGGAGUGGGAAUGCGAGAAUGUGCCCAAUUUUUUAGGCAGACCCUAGAUUUUUUGAGCGAUGAAGCGAGGAGGGCGGCUGAGUUGGUUGAAGUGGUCUGGAUGGGAGUGCAGCAUUUUGUGAUAAUGUCAUUGCAUGGACGGAUAUUGGACCAGCCAGGCUCGAACUUGAAAAAGUUAGAUCGAGGAAUCGUUGUGGUGACGUGUAUGAGGAGAGGGACGUGAUCAUAUGUGAAACAUGUAAGCGAAGAUAAGGAUGUAUUGGGUAAGGCAUCUGCCCAGGCGAGGUUAAAAACAAGCACGGUCAAUCCAUUCUAAGGUGGGUGUUGAUCGAUUGUUUGACCGUGUAAAUUGGCGAUCGAGGAGUGGCAGUUCGAUAACAGCUAGGUGUUAGGUUGAUCUCCUCCGUGUAGGCCCGAUGGCCCGCCAGGCCCUUGGUCAAUGCGCCCUGAUCGGGGGCGCCCAACCCAUUAUGGUUGGUGGGACCCUGUGACCCGCGCUAUAUAAACAGAGGUGGGGGCCGGGGCAUGACUUACGAGGUUGAUCGCUGCCACAAUCCCCACCUACAAUCCCUACCGAUCUAGGGUUAGCGCGGUGCUCACGGGAAGCACACCACCGCCGCCAUCCACUCUCUGCCGUCACCGGCCACCGUCACCAUGGCCGGGCACCAGGAGUUCCUCGUCUGGACAAGCAGAAGGUAGGUCUACCGGAGAAUCUAACCUAUCCGAUGCAAAGCGAUCUAACAAUGGUAUCAGCCAGAUCGGGUUAGACUUUUUCGGUUGAAAAGAAAUCACACAAAGAAAUCCCUCCCCCAAAGAACCCUAGCAGGGCACAGUAAAUAAAAUAAAAAAAGUAAAGCGGAGCAUGGCCUCAGGCCUCGCCGACAAAGAGCACCGCCGUACGGCCGUGCCUGUUCCUCUCGAUCCCCACACGCAUCGGCAAGCCGAGGUGCAGGGAUGAAGAACCACCCCGCGAGGGGCAAAGUACACCGCAGCCAAACCGCUCGACGGCGACGCGCUCACCGCAAGGGGGAUGGCCACGGCGUCGCAUUGGAAUCUCGCCAGAUCUCUCUCUCUCUCUCUCUGUUGUUGUAAACGAUGGCAGAGAAGAAGAAAAGAAGGAAGGGAAAGGUCGCACAGGGCGGGGCGGUGGCCUUCGGCGCCGUCGCCGGCCGCCGGGCCGUUGCCGUAGAUGUCAACAGAAAGGGCAAGAGCGGGCUCGAAGGGGAGCAGAGAGCUUGGCCGCGUCUCUCUCUCGCUCUCUCUGUCGAAGGAAGGAGGAAAGAGAAUGGGGGGAAGGAAAUAGAGGCGCACGGCGGGGUGUCGCGCUAGCGCUCGUCGCCGGCACUAGCGUUUGAGAUCGGUCGGCACUGGUUUUGACCAAGCGAAAGCCGCAGAUGGCCGUCUGAUCUCCACGGACGUCCAGGAUCAAACCCUAACUGGACAAGGGCCUUUUGGGCUGAAAGUGGCACAGGCCGGCGUCGGCAGCGCGGGCAUAGAAGCUGGGCUAAUUGGCAGCCACACAGUGAUCCCAGUGGCUCGAGCGGCAGAGCUUGCGAGGGGAGCAGGCCGUGGGCCGCUGCGGGCCUCCCGCGCCAGGCCGAGGCCGGCUAAUUUUUUUAUAGCUUUCUGUUCAAAUUAAUCGAAAGAUUUUUUGUCCAAAAAAAAGUUCAUGAAUUUUAUAAAGAAAAUUAAAUAGUUCAUAAUUUUUUAUUCUGUCAAAGAAAAAGUUUAUGUAAAGAGUAAAAGUUCGUGAAUUUUUAUUCAGGAUUUUCCACUGCAUAAAUAAUUAAUAGUGCUCUUUUACAAAGAAAAUAAAAGUUUAUGAAGAAUUAAGUUUUUUAAGAGCAUGUUAAAGUGAAUAUUUUAAUGAAUAUGAUUAUGUUAUUUGUAUGACCAACGUUGUUAAUAACAUGAUCUUGAAUAGAAUAUUGUAAAGUUUCCGCUGCAAAGUAAAAAAGUUUUAUCCUCCAAUUAAGUUGGAACCAACGGGAAAAUUUAAUUGGAAGAAAUGCUCUUAGCAAUGUUUUUCCCCUAUGGGUGAAAUAAGAUGCAGAUAGUUUCCGCUAUGACAAAAGAAAGAUAUUUGUUUUAAAGUUAAAAUAUGAUAUUGUUAUUUUCUGACCAACGUUGAUGAUAACAGUGCUAUAAUUCUAUGAGUCUUAUGUUCAAAGUUUAAAUCUUUGAUAAUUUUUGUAUCAAAGUGAUCAAUUUUUAGAGAACGGAUAAAGAUCAAGAAAUGCUCUUGAACUAGAGAAAUGUAUAUUUCUUGUUCCCGCUGCAAUAAAGUUGGUGAUGAUGAUUAAUUCUUAGCAAAGUUGUUUAAUAGAAAUACUAUCAUCACAUUGUUUAUGAGUUAUACGCAUUAUUUCCAUUCCGCUCAACAGUGAUAUGGAAUUAAUGUAGAAGGAUGAUGAAUUAUACUAAUUCUGCCACAACGGUGAUUUAGAAUAUAAAAGAAAGUUUCAAAAGUUUAAUGUGCAUUUUUAUUUUUAACCAGACCAAUGUAGGGUUAUUUUUAUGCCCAUUAUUGUUGAUUAUUGGCUAAGUUUUCUCAGACUAAAAGUUUUCCAUGCUUUCAUUCGUGAAAGCGGACGGAUGGGUACUUGUGACCCGAAAGAUGACCAAGAAAGGUCAUAACGUGAGGGAGUAUGUUCUCUCUAAAGAAUGACUUCAAAAGAAAAGAAAUAGAUCAUUGAGAGUCUUGGUUGAUGAAGGUCUUUCAUGUACUCUCUAUGAAGAAGAUUUUUCAGUCAACAUGAUUUGAGAUGAAACAAGCAACAUGCGUGUUUAAUUUGACCAACGUCGGAUCAAGCAUGUGUGUCAAAGAGCAUUCGCAUUUAUUCCUAAAUUUGAUGAUUGAAUAUGCAAUCAAAAGAGCCAAUUCUGGCAUUUAUGUUCCCUUCGCAUGGCGGGUAAAUAUGAUUAUGAUAAAACCUGCAUGGAGGGAAAAGUCUGGGAAAAUACCUGCGUAACGGGGUAAAGCUGACAUAAUAUUAUGUCAAAAAUCCCGUAUGGCAGAGAAAUUCUGGCAAGAGAAAGAUAUGAUAACUCAUGUGCUUUUAAUGUAUCCCACUAUGGGAGAAAAGAAUGGAGUAGCUGAAAGGCGCAACCGUACACUUGUGGAUACGGUGCGCAGCAUGAUGAGUUAUUCCAACUUGCCAUUGGGAUUAUGGAUGGAGGGGCUUAAAACCUCCAUUCACAUUCUCAAUAGAGUGCCAAGCAAGUUGGUGCCCAAAACACCGUACGAGCUAUGGACAGGAAGGGUGCCCUCCCUACAAGACUUCAGGGUGUGGGGGUGCCCUGCUGAGGCCAAAAUGUUUAAUCCAAACAUUGCAAAGUUCGAUCCCAAAACAGUGAGUUGCUACUUCAUUGGCAAUCCAGACAGAUCAAAGGGUUUUCGUUUCUACUGCCCAGACAGAUAUACAAAAUUUGUAGAAACGAGACAUGUAGUCUUCUUAGAGGAUGAAAUGAUGAGGGGGACCUCGGUAGCUCGGAAAAUUGAUCUUGAGGAGAAGAGGGUGCAUGCACCUAAUCCGAUGAUUCAGGAGCCAUUUUUCUCACUACCAGUUGCAACUCCACCCAUGACAACUAUGGGGGUAGACCUGGAACCUGUCCGUCAGGAGCUGACUAAACCCUUUGUUGAGCAUGAAAGGGAGGUGCAGCAACAAAUUUUAGAAGAAGUGUCAGAAGUUGAGGCACAGAAUGUGCCUAAAACUGAGGCCCUUAGAAGGUCUACAAGACCAAGAAAGUCAGCUAUUUCUACUGACUUUAAAGUUUAUAACACAGAGAUGGUUCAUGUCGAAAAAGAUUCCACCUCAUAUGAAGAAGCCAUGAGAAGCCCCCAUUCAUCGAUGUGGAUGAAGGCAAUGGAAGACGAGAUGAAAUCGAUGAGUUCCAAAGAUGUUUGGGACUUAGAGGAAAUUCCUAAAGGAGCCAAAAUAGUAUGUUGGAAAUGGGUCUAUAAAAUUAAGUAUGACUCUAAAGGGAAUGUAGAAAAGUAUAAAGCACGACUCGUGGCAAAAUGGUUUACACAAAGAGAAGGGAUAAAUUACAAUGAGACAUUUUCUCCAGUCUCAUAUAAGGAUUCCUUCAGAAUCAUAAUGGCAUUAGUUGCUCAUUUUGAUUUAGAGUUACAUCAAAUGGAUGUAAAGACGGCAUUUCUCAACGGGGAUUUAAAAGAAAAUGUCUACAUGAAACAACCCAAAGGUUUUAUCAUGAAGGCAAGGAAAAUACGGGAUGCCGCCUGAAGAAAUACAUUUAUGGAUUAAGACAAGCCUCUCGGUAGUGGUAUCUAAAGUUUAAUCAAACGAUUAAAAGUUUUGGAUUUAAAGAAACUAUUGAGGAUAAUUGCAUUUAUGCAAAGUUUAAAAAUGGGAAAUAUAUUUUCCUAAUCUUGUAUGUGGAUGAUAUCCUGCUUGCUAGUAGUGAUGUUAGUCUACUACAAGAAACAAAGAAAUACUUAUCCUCAAAUUUUGACAUAAAAGAUCUUGGUGAAGUAUCAUAUGUUUUGGGCAUAGAAAUUCACCGCGAUAGGGAUAAUGGAAUCUUAGGACUAUCGCAGAAAGCAUAUUUAGAAAAGGUUCUUAAAAAGUAUAAUAUGCAUGCGAGUAUAGCCACACCUGCUCCUAUAGUCAAGGCGAUAGUUUUGAAAAAUUCCAAUGUCCCAAGAACUAGUACGAGAUCGAUCAAAUGAAAGCAGUACCAUAUGCUUCGGCAGUUGGCAGCUUACAGUAUGCACAAGUGUGCACUCGCCCUGACUUAGCUUUUAUCACUGGGCUACUCGGUAGAUAUCAAGAGAAUCCAGGCAUGGAGCACUGGAAGAUGGUAAAGAAAGCAUUGUGUUAUGCGCAAGGCACGAAGGACUACAUGCUAAUAUAUACAGGAGAAGUGAUUCCCUAGAGAUAAAAGGGUAUUCAAACGCAGAUUUUGCGGGGGACAGAGAUGAUAGAAAAUCCAUAUCAGGAUACGUCUUCACUCUCGCUGGGGGAGCUAUUUCGUGAAAAAGCUCCAAACAGUCGAUAGUUGCAUCAUCCAUGAUGUAUGCAAAAUUCAGAGCAUGCUUCGAAGCCACGGGGCAGGCGAUAUGGCUAAAAAAGUUUAUACCCGACUUGAAAGUGGUAGAUUGUAUUCACAAACCACUAAAGAUGUACUGCAACAACCAGCCUAUAGUAUUUUACGCUCACAACAACAAGUCGAGUAAUGCUGCCAAAACAAUAGAGAUAAGGUAUUAUGUUGUGAAAGAUAAAAUCCAGGAUCAAACUAUAAGUCUCGAGCAUAUAAGGACAAAGGAUAUGCUUGCGGAUCCGCUAACGAAAGGCUUACCACCCAAUGUGUUCAAGGAACACUUAGCCGGCAUGGGUUUAAGGAAAAAGCCUUAUGAUUCCUGGAUAGGCCCAAAAGGAACAGAAUUUGUUUCUAAACAAAACGUAUGUUGUAGCUGUAUAAUUCUAUCGGCAAUUGAGCUGUGACGAUAAAACAUGCUCUAUACACCAGUAUGUGAUGAAACAAAUAAUCUAGAGAGUAUAAGGUUAAAAGUGUUGAGAUCAAGGGGGAGAAUGUUAGGUUGAUCUCCUCUGUGCAGGCCCAACGGCCUGCCAGGCCCUUGGUCAAUGCGCCCUGAUCGGGGGCGCCCAACCCAUUAUGGUUGGUGGGCCCCUGUGACCCGCGCUAUAUAAACAGAGGUGGGGGCCGGGGCACGACUUACGAGGUUGAUCGCUGCCACAAUCCCCACUUACAAUCCCUACAGAUCUAGGGUUAGCGCGGUGCUCACGGGAAGCACACCACCACCGCCAUCCACUCUCUGCCAUCACCGGCCACCGUCACCAUGGCCGGGCACCGGGAGUUCCUCGUUUGGACAAGCAAAAGGUAGGUCUACUGGAGAAUCUAACCUAUCCGAUCCAAAGCGAUCUAACACUAGGUUGUCGAGAGCUUGGUUGAACGCGUUAGCUUCUGACCGACGAAAGGUAUUGUUGUUUUUGUCGGAGGGGAAGCAUAGGAGGUUGAAGUCUCCAACAACUAACCACGGGGAAUCAUCCGGUUGUGCGAUAGAUAGGAGCUCGUCGAGGAAGCAUUUUUUGAGAGCCCAGAUGGAGGGGGCGUAGAUAUUGGUGAUGGAAAUGUUAUGAGCACAUGCAGUUGAUCUUACAAUUAUGAUGGAGGAAAAGGUUAGGUGAGAGUAUGAGAUAACCUGAAGAGAAGAUGUGCUAACGGCCGAAAUGGUGCCGCUAGCCGUGCCAAUGGAAAACAUGGUCGAGAUGGUGUGGUAAGAAAGAUCUUAGCUUGGCAUCGGAGUAAGUCUCAAGCUGGAUCAUUGUCUGUCCCUCUGCAGUAUCUGAGUGUGAACUAGUCGCAGUGACAAUGCAUGUCGUUAAAAAGAAUGUGAACUACUCCUAGUCCCUUCUGAAUCUUUGCUUUGACAGAGGACCCAACGGCAGAGAGCGACGUGUACAGCUUCCGGGUGGUGCUGCUGGAGAUACUGGCCGGCCAGCGCCGACUAGACAGGAACCGACCAUCCGGUGAGCAAGACCUGGUGGAGUGGGCGCGGACGCACCUAAGGCGCUAGCGCCAGAUCUCCCACAUGGCCACAUCCUGGACGAGCGGCUGGGCGGAUAGUACUCCCUCGCUGGAGCGCAGAAGGCCGCCUCACUGGCGCUCAAGUGCCUGUCCAGCGACGUGAGUGCGUGUACGGGCAUGGAGCAGGUGGUGACAACCCUUGAGCAGCUCCAGGGCUCCAAGGAGACCACAGUGAGCGAUCAAGAAAUGGGGAGCGGCGGUGGCAGCUGUGGCUUCGUCGGAAAGUUUGGCCGUAGCCGGCAGCGGCAACCCUAGCGGGCUGCUAAGGGGCAGCAUCCGAGGCAUCGCUACUGCACGGGUGACGAAUUCUGAUUUGUAAAGAGGGAGGCAGACGACUGCCUCUGAAUGUUUAAUUAGUGCUUCUGCUUUUGCAAGUUCAGGUCCGCCGUUAUUUUGCUUCUUUAUACUGAAGAAGGGAUGACGAUUUUUCCUCGGUGGAGUUUCUGUUUUGAGGACUCUGCCGUCUCGCUGAUUUCCCGUUGGAAAUAAGCUGAAAAGCAGUAAUAUGGAAACAUGGAUGAAUAAAUGCAUGAAUCAAUUCAUGGAAUGUUAAGUGAACUGGUCAGUUAUACUGCACAAGUUUGCUCAAGAGUCAUUCUACCAGCAAUAAACAUUUUGCUGGCGCAUCAUUAAGAUUACGAUUUAUAUUCCACAGGAAAGCUAAAAGUAGUUUUACGCACUCGAUCCCAAAUUAAUUGCGAAGUUGAAUCUAUGUUGGACCAAGUCUAUGGGGGAAAAUGUGUUAGUAUUUGAUAACAUUGAAAGUAUACACUACAGAAUUAUAUUUUAUGAUGGAUCACAUGAAACUUAUUUAAUAUUGUAUAGAUGCUGAUAUAUUUUUCUCUAAACUUGGUCAACUUUAGUACUAGAAUCAAGGGCAAUGAUUUGGUUUGCAGAACCUAAUGUGGCCUGAUCUUGGGCUAUUGCAAAGCUUGCAGAAUCUAUGAUGGCAUGAGCACACAUCUGACUUGCAGGAAGAGCUCUACCUGUAGUGAAAAGGCUAUAUCAUUCCUAGCUUUCCAAAGACACAAAAUUUGGAAAUCAAAAGAGUGUCCUGAAGAAAGUACUAAGCUUUUAUUUUAGUCAAAGUUGGCAUGUCAGGGACAAGACGGGUAAGAAUUUUAGCUGCGAUGUACCAUGGGGACUUGAGCAUUUGAAAACAUCCAUGGUACAUAUACCCAUCAGGUGAAACGUUAACGUGGUAUUUGUACGUGAGUUAUUAGCUCUGACUUGCGCAUAUAACCAUGUUAUAUACACCAAAGUUAUUAGCGGUGUAUUUUUGAACAACUUUUAUCUUGGAGGGGAACAAUUAACAUGUUGUUUGUACAUAAGCUAUCAGCUGUUGCGCAUAUAUUAUCAUGCUAAUUUAUACAUAAGUUAUUGUGUGUAUGUAUUUUAACACAUUUUUCCCCGAGUCAAAAAGUUAUCGUAUAUUCGUAUGUGAGUUAUCACUUUAUUGUGUGUGUAUUACCAUGGUACUUGCACACAAAUUACCGGGAUAUAUUUUUCAACAACCUUUUCUCACUAAUUUCUUUACCAUGGUGUUUUAUAUGAGUUAUUAGCUUUAUUGUGUGUAUAUUAUCAUGUUACUUACACAUAAGUUGUUAGCGUAUAUUUUUCAACAACCUUUUUUCCCGUUAAAAAUGUUAUUAUGUUGUUUAUAUGUGAGUUACAUCUCUAUUGUAUGUAUAUUAAUGCUAGUUACACACAAGUUAUCGGGUGAUGUUUUUGAACAAUAUUUUUCUUAUUACAAAAAUUACCACUGUGUUUGUACAUGAGUUAUCAGCUCUAUUGUGUGUAUAUUACCAUGCUACAUGCACACAAGUUACCAGGUAUGUUUUUCAACAGUUUUUUUCCAUUCAAAGUUACCGAUGUUCAUUGGUGAGUUAUCAGUUUAGCCUAUAUCACUAGUAGAAAAAGGGCCAAAUGUGAAGCACAUUAGUGCCGGUUUGAAUUUGAGCCGGCACUAAUGUGUGCAUUAGUGCCGGUUCCAACGGCUAGCCGGCCGCUCUCAUUAGUACCGGUUCGUGGCGAACCUUUAGCACCGGUUCGUGCCACGAACCGGUACUAAAGUGAGUGGUGGCAGGAUGUUAUCAGUCCGGGGCCCCUCCAGCACCUUUAGUACCGGGUCGUAUCACGAACCGGUACUAAAGGUCGUCCUAUAUAGACCCUUCGUUCAUCCGAGCUCGCUCUGUUCUUUCCCUUUCCCCACUCCUCUUUGUUCUUUUCCCUCUUCCUCUCAAGUUCAUCACACAUUUUGCCCAAAAUUUGUCAAGAUUUGAAUGCCCCCAUCUAUUCAAAUGAACACAAAGGUUAGCAACUUUGUCCUUUCAUCUCUCAUUGCUAGAUUAGCUCGUGCAAUGCUUUCUAGAGUGAUUGAUUUGGGAGGAAUUAUAUAUGUGCUAGUAUUUGAUUUAUAUGCAAUUUGAGAUCAAAAAUAACACUUAGUUUGUAUAUGUAGGUGUGGUUUACUUAGUACCUUCUAAAUCUCCGUCAUAACCACCGUCGAUCGCUCGCAACGUCCCGUCGCCGGCACCACCUUGUGGUGAGCCUCUUGUUCAUGAAGUUUUAUAUAAAAAAAUUGAUGUUUGUGUGAUUUCGAAAUAUAGUUACUCGUAUAAUUAUCUUACCCAUACAUUAUUUGUUAUACAUAGUGCCAUGGUUUUGAUAUCCGUCCCCGUCGGCCCUCGUCCGGGCACUACAAGAAAAAGGCCUACUAAUGGCGCACCAGUUUUGCCUACUAAUGGCGCAGUAGGCGCACUACUGGUGCGCCAUUAGUAGCACGCCAGUAGUUUUUUUUACUAAUGGCGCACCACUGGUGCGCCAUUAGUAUACCACAUACUAAUGGCGCACUAGUAGUGCGCCAUUAGUAUGCCUAGAGGUGCGCCAUUACUAUCUGACUUAGUAAUGGCGCACCACAUAGAAGUGCGCCAUUAGUAAUAAUUUUUUUUAAAUUUUUUUAAGAAUUUCAAUAUUUUUCAAUUUUUUUAAAAUUCAUUUUUUUCUUUUUUAAAAAAAAUUCAAAAAACUUCAUUUUUUCUAAAAUUCAAUUUUUUUCUUAAUCUCGGGUAACUAUGGCUUAAUCUCAGGUUAAAUCACACUCUGUGGUCAAACUUCCCGAAAGGUCACCCAUCCUCACACUACUUCAGCCCAAGCAUGCUUAACUUCAUAGUUCUAUCCAACCCCAGCACCACCUCACUUCACAGACACUUGUUGAUAUAUCUAUCAUAUCAAUCCUAUUAAACCGUGCUGAUGUCUAGGACUUUGUUCAUGUUCAUGAGUAUGAUGAAAUUUUGAAAAAAUAUUUCAAACUUCCCGAUCAUAUUAUGUAUCAUAUUUUGAAAAAUAAUUCAGUUUUUUUUCAAAACCAAUUUUUUUUCUGUUACUAGUGGCGCACCUAGCAUACGGUGCGCCACUAGUAAGUUUGAAACUUUUUGAUUUUUUUGCCUCCGGAUCUUAGAAGCCCCGUAACUUUUUUUCUGUUAGGUUUUUGCGGAUUUUGAAAAUGUUUAACGGGGUUCCCCCCGUUAAAUUUGGAUGUAACUUUUCGAAUAGAUGAUUUUUCAUAUAAAAAACUUUUUCAUCCGAGUUCGUACGCAAAAGUUAUGCCCAUUUUUACAAAUUCUUGCGAGAUUUUGCAAAAAAGUCGAAAAUUCAUGUUUGUAAAUUUUGCUAACAACUAGACCACAUAUCACAUGAGAAUCUUAUUUUCUUUUAUUUUUUUUGACAUUUCUAUCAUUUUCUUUUAUUUUUUUUGAAACUGAAAAGGCGGGUCCAUGGGGGGGUGUGCAUUCGGGCGAAUGUUUGGGCCAAGUUACUAAUGGCGCACCGUGGGAGUGGUGCGCCNNNNNNNNNNNNNNNNNNNNNNNNNNNNNNNNNNNNNNNNNNNNNNNNNNNNNNNNNNNNNNNNNNNNNNNNNNNNNNNNNNNNNNNNNNNNNNNNNNNNNNNNNNNNNNNNNNNNNNNNNNNNNNNNNNNNNNNNNNNNNNNNNNNNNNNNNNNNNNNNNNNNNNNNNNNNNNNNNNNNNNNNNNNNNNNNNNNNNNNNNNNNNNNNNNNNNNNNNNNNNNNNNNNNNNNNNNNNNNNNNNNNNNNNNNNNNNNNNNNNNNNNNNNNNNNNNNNNNNNNNNNNNNNNNNNNNNNNNNNNNNNNNNNNNNNNNNNNNNNGGCGCACCACUCCCACGGUGCGCCAUUAGUAGUUUUGGAAACUAGUAAUGGUGCACCGCUCCCACGAUGCGCCAUUAGUAGUUUUGAAAAAAUUAAUUUUUUUUACAUAUGGCGCACCGUAAAUGUGGUGCGCCAUUAGUAUUUGGACACUAAUGACGCACCAACACAUGGUGCGCCAUUAGUAUAUACUAAUGGCGCACCACAUGUCUGGUGCGCCAUUAGUGUCAUUUCUAUCUAUAGCCCUUUUCCUAGUAGUGGGGUUAUGAUUCGGAUGUGGUAUAUUCUCUUUUAAAACUAUUCAUUGCAUUUCGUGUUUAUGACAAAUUAUGCCCAUCAAGUUGACAUAAAUAUUUGUAUGUAGGAGGUAGUUGAACCGGAAAUUCCAACCGACCCUAUUGUCGAGAGAUUACAUUUAGUUGAAAGAGAAAACGAGGAUUUGAAGAAAAAAUUGAAAAGAAUUAAGGGGGAGAAGAUGGAAUUGGAGUUGCAUGUUGCCGAUGUCGUCGAUGAUCACAAGAUUAAGAUGGAGAAAAUGCGCUUGAAGAUUAGAAAUAUUAGAAAAUAUGCCAUUCAUAGUGAGGCUUGGUAUCAUUAUGCUGUUGGAUCAAUUGUUACCUUAGUUGCAAUCUUGAUCACAUUUGUUGUUGCAUUUAAAUUCUUUAGCUAGAGAGUUAUUUGUUUGUUGCAUUUAAGUGUUGUAUGAUCUUUAUGUAUGAACUUUAUGUAUUGUAUUAAUUUGGUGUUUCGGUGUUGUGUAUUGAAGAUGAGCCGGCAAUGGAUGUACAAUGACCGAUGCUCUCCCGAGUUCAUUAAUGGCGUGCGUACUUUUCUGCUUGCGGCUGAGGCAAACAAGCGGGCGGAUGAUUUUAUGCCUUGUCCAUGUGCUGGCUGUAAGAAUGGUCGCAAUUACUCUACGUCAAGAACCAUUCACGUCCACCUGUUUGAGUCCGGUUUCAUGCCCCACUAUAAUGUUUGGACCACACAUGGAGAAAGAGGGGUUAUGAUGGAAGACAAUGAAGAAGAAGAGGACGACGACAGCUAUCCUGGCCAUGGGUUCCCUGAAUACGAUGAUACAACAAUGAGGGAAGAAGCUGAGCCGGUAAUGCGGGAAGAAGUUGAGCCGGCAAUGCGGGAAGAAGCUGAAGAAGAGGCAUCGGAUGAGCCCGUUGAUGAUCUAGGUCGGGCCAUUGCCGAUGCAAAGAGAAACUGCGCAAGUGAUUUGGAGAAGAAGAAGUUGCAGCGCAUGUUAGAGGAUCACAAAAAAUUGUUGUACCCGAAUUGCGCAGGUGACAAGAAAAAGCUGAGCACCACACUAGAAUUGCUACAAUGAAAGGCAGAGAAUGGUGUAUCUGACAAGGGAUUUGGAAAGUUGCUGGUAAUGAUAAAGAAUAUGCUUCCAAAGGACAACGAAUUACCCGAGAGUACGUACGAAGCAAAGAAGGCUGUCUGCCCUCCAGGGUUAGAGGUGCAGAAGAUACAUGCAUGCCCUAAUGAUUGCAUCCUCUACCACGGUGAGUACGAGGAUUUGAACGCUUGCCCAGUAUACGGUACAUUGCGCUAUAAGAUCAGCCGCGAUGACCCUGGUGAUGUCGAGGGCGAGCGCCCCAGUAAGAAGAUUCCUGCCAAGGUGAUGUGGUAUGCUCCUAUAAUACCACGGUUGAAACGUUUGUUCCAAAACAAAGAGCAUGCCAAGGCGAUGCGAUGGCACAGAGAAGACCGUAAGAAAGACGGAAAGUUGAGAGUACCCGCUGACGGGUCGCAGUGGAUAAAAAUCGAAAGAAAGUACGGGAAGGAGUUUGCAGAUGACACAAGGAACGUAUGGUUUGGUCUAAGCGCAGAUGGCAUUAAUCCUUUUGGGGAGCAUAGCAGCAACCAUAGCACCUGUCCUGUGAAUGAAGCGGAAAUUCAUUAUGAUGCCAGUGCUCAUCCAAGGCCCUAAGCAACCCGACAACGACAUUGAUGUGUACCUAAGGCCAUUAGUUGAAGAACUCUUACAACUGUGGAAUGGAACAGGUGUACAUGUGUGGGAUGAGCACAUGGGGGAAGAAUUUGACCUAAAGGCCUGCAUACGACUAGAAAACCAAAUUCUAGUUGGGCCAGGAUGCAGACCCGCUAGCCCAGUAGGCCCAACAGGGCAUCGCAGCAGAGGUAGGCCCAGAAGGCCUACUUAAGAGAGGAGCUCGAGACAGCAGCGACAGCGGGGCUUAUAAGCAGGUGCGAGUGCCCCUCGGCUAGCGAGAUGGGACUAAACUUCUGCGCCCCUUGCCUGGCAGCGCACACCCUUUAGUACCGGGUCGUGGCUCCAACCGGUACUAAGGGGGGGGGGCUUUAGUACCGGUUGGUGCCACGACCCGGUACUAAAGGGGCUGCGGUUCCCGCCGCUUCGCCUGGCCAAAACAGACCUUUAGUACCGGUUGGUGGCUCCAACCGGUACUAAAGGUGUCCCCUAUAUAAGAAAACACUUCGAAAAAUUUCAGUUUCUCAUCUCCCACUUCUCUCUGCCGUCGCCCUGUCCCGCGCCGUCGCCGCCCCUGUCGCGUCGUCCCCGUCGACUCCGCGACGCCCCCGUCCUCGUCGCAUCGUCCCCGUCGACUCCGCGGCGCCCCCGUCGCCGGCCUGUCCCGGUCGCCGCACCGGCCCAUCGCCGUCCCCUCACCUCGCCGCCGUCGCCUUGGAUCGCGACCUCGCCUCGCCAUUGCUGUCGCCUCGACCUCGCCCGCGCGCGCUGUGAGCCCCUCCCCCGGCCCCUCUGCUCCCACCAAUCGAUCAAAGCCACCGUGCGCCGACGCCGGCCGUAGCGCACACACACGCGCGCGUGCGCACACACACACACACACUACACGUGCACACACACAAUUUUUCUGUUUCUAGUUUUUAGUUUUUUCUGUUUUUCUGUUUUUCAUACAAAGUUUUAGAUGAAUUAAUUAAUUAGAUUAUAUUAAUGUCAAAUAGUAUAUAGAAAUGUUAGUUAUAAUAUAUAUAAUGUCAAAGUUUUUUUUUGUUUUUAUACAAAUGUUAUAGAAAUGUUAGAAAUUUUGGAAAUGUUAGUUUUAGCUAGAUGAAUUAGAUUAAUUUCAAAUUGUUAGAUGAUGAUCGAUGUUUUUUCUCUGUUUCUUAUAUUUUUAGUUAUAAAAUUUAGAAUUUGCAUAUAUGAAAUCACAAUCCAUCAUUUAAAAAAUGUUACUUUACUUUUGCGGCAUAUAGUAUUUGUUGUCGACGAUGCCCGAUCUGCAUCCUCGCCGUCGACCCGUUCGCGACGACGUCCUGCUUCAGAGGACCCAUGUCCGGGACUGGGUUCCGCCGGGCUGGCACUGGGAGGUGCUACCUUCAGGGGCGCGACGCUUGGUGAGGAAACCGGCCCCGGGUCCCGUCGUCGACCCUCAUCUCCUUUGGUGGCGUUCGCGUGGGCAACUUUCGGUGCGGAGGGAGCCGGCCCCGCUGGAGGUGGUACGUCGCCGUGUCAGGGAGGAGGACGAGCACGUCCAUCGCUACAUGGCUGCUAUGGACGUCAGGUUCUCCAAUACCUGGCAGGUUCUUUGGGGAGAUCACCCGAGGUAUGAUCUAGUGAUGGUUCCUUCAUUUUGGUUGUCCACCGCCUAGAUUACUCUUUAGUAUUCGAUCUUUAUUAGCUAGCUAGCUAGCUAGCUAGUGAUGUAUUCGAUAUAUAAUAUUCGAGAUGAUUUAUUCGAGAUUAUAUAUAUUAUUUGAGACGAUGUAUUCGAGAUUAUGUCUAUUAUUCGAGACGACGUAUUCAAGAUUAUAUUCGAUGAUGCUUAUUAUGUACUAUGAUUGAUUCAGUUUUUCCUUAUUAAUUGAUUGCAUCCAUGCAUUGUAAUUUGAAUAUAUUUCUUUUGGAUUAGUUAAACAAAACCUAUGGCGGACAAUACCGGCAGAGAGGGAGAAGAGGCCCUGUUCAAUAUCAUACGCAAUCCCCACGGGCCAGAUGAUGAUCAGAAUGAAGAAGAUCAUGACGGCUCCGAAUAUCUAAACAACACCGGGGAGGGUGAUAUGAUAUUCGAUCGCGACGACCGAAUUGAUGAAGUCAUGAACUAAGAACAUGACGAAGAAAAUGUUGAUCUUGAAACAACAAAGACCGGCGAGGUAUAUAUAUUUAUAUAAGCAGGCAUCUGGUGAUCAUCACAUGUUUUAAAUGACUUGAAGAUAUAUUAACGAAUCGAUCUUUCUUCUUUCAGCCAUCCAGAUCGAGCAAAUCUUCAGGCAACAGGAAACGAGGCCCGAACAAAAAGUUGAAGGAGGGCGUAAAGUACAAUAUCGAGGCCAUCAAACCUAAUGCCGAACCAUUAGCGCCUAAGAAGAUUGCGGACAAGUUCAUUCGUUAGUGCAGAGUUCUUUUGAAGGACCAACUCCCGAUCUCCCUUCAAGAAUGGAGAGAGCCAAGCCACGUCCAGGAGUUACUUUUGUCGAUGAAAAACAAAAACUUAUGCUUUGGGAAACGCUCAUGGAACAUUUCACCCUACCAGAUCAUUUCACAGAUGCAGAUGUGGAGAAAGUCAAGGACGCUACUCUUAGGAAGAUGGUGGUUGCAUUCAAGAACCACAAGAUUCAUGAAUGAGCCAAGUACGUCAAGGGAGGAAGGAAGACUCUAGUAUUCGAGGGAACACUAGAGAAGCAAAGUGCUCAUUGGGACGAUUUCAUGAAAUUCAAGGAUUCGGAAUUAUCUAAGGAACGGUCGAGAAUAAACAAGGCCAAUGCCUCAAAAAAGGAUAAGUUCCAUAAGCUGGGGCCAGGUGGCUAUCGGUGGGAAUGCCUAAGUGGGAUAAGUCCGAGAAAGAGAUGGAGGAUGCAAGUGUCACUCCAGAAACAUUGAGCUGGCCCCCCAGGUGCAGGACUUGGUUCUAUGCGCAUGGGGGGGGAGAGUUGGACCCGAAGACAGGCAAAGUUUCAAAGAAGGCAUGUCUGGACGGAGCCGAAGAUAAGCUACUUGUUGCAAUAAAAGAGGCUCGAUCGGGGGUGUUCGAGCCCAACAGAGAGAACAACGAGCUUACGCGUGCCCUGGGAAAUCCUGAACACCCGGGAAGAACACAAGGCAUGGGCGCUAUUCCAUGGUAUGAGGGGUUUUCGGACUGGAAUGCCGACUACAGAACCCGUGCGAGAGAGAAGAUUGCGGAGGAGAAGAAGAGGAAGAUGGAGGAGGAGCAGAGGAAGCUAGACUAUGAACGCCUUCAAGGCCUAGAAUCAUCGCACACGGACUUGGCAGUCAAAUUCCAGCGGCAGCAAGAGCAGAUCGACUCACUUAGCCAGCAAAGGGGGUCUCAGCAGCUAGCGGAUGAUCCACCAUUGGAUAGCACCGUCCCAUCCAUGCCGAGAAGCAACGUGGGUUCCGCCCCGGGUGACGCAUUGCUGGAUAGCUACCCAAUGGAUGACAUCAUGGAGAACACUAACUGUGAGCUACACUUCAAAAUGAAGAACAUAUCCAUGAAGGUGGCGGACGCCCUUGCUUUUACAAAUCCCCUCGAGGCAACCUUCCAUUGCAACCCGAUUUCAGCGGGCUAUGCUCGUGUCUUGGUUGAUGAGGUGGUGGACCAAUAUUCGGGGCUAGAGCUUGACAUUCCUGGAGGUGACGAUGAGCACACACUGGGAGAGGCCAACCAUCGUAUCAUCCUAUGGAGAAAGGAUUGCUUCAUCUUUUGAAGGCCACCGACACCGCGUCAUCCGACUCCUCGUCGAAGUCCGCCACCGAGUCAGCAGACUCCCGCUCCUCCAAGUCCACCAACGUGUCAGGCCACUCCUCCUCCAAGUUCGGCACAGCUUCAGGCCACUCCUCCUGCUCCAAGUCCGACAAAGCAUCAGGCCACUCCUCCUUCAAGUCCGGCACAGCUUCAGGCCACUCCUCCUCCAAGUCCGGCACAGCUUCAGGCCACUCCUCCUUCUCCAACUCAGCCACGUCAGCCAUCUUCGCCGCCUCAGCAAUCACGGAAGAGAGCCGCCUCAGCUAUGGUGCGUAGCGGUACAAGUCGAGGUAGUACUGGAGGUACAGGCGGUGGCAAGCGAUUUCAAUAUGGUCCAAGCCUCGCGCCUCUUCCGCAGAGGCCUUACGACAAGUCCGAAGAGGAAAACAUAGGCAUAUCAAAGGCCGAGGUGGAAGCCCAUUUUGCUCUGAAACCGCCACCGCCGCCAAGGGAGAAAGUGCCUGUGGAAAAGAUUGACCACUUCAUUCGUAUGGCUAGAGCACCAGCUCCCAAGCCUGUUGACACAGACUAUGAGCGCCACAUCAAGAAGUUAAAUCGAGCACGUCUACAGAAAGAGGCGAGCUCGAGCUCGAGCAAAUCAGCUGGCAAAAGGAGCGGUAAAACCGUUCCCCAGCUGGGAGAACAGGCGGCGCAAUCAAUCCCCCUGCUUGUUGUGCCAACAACACAUGAGAGUAGGCGCGCCCAAUAUUAUUGUGGGCAAACCGUUAACGUUCCCGGGCUGGGCGAUGUGGUAAUAACCGAGAAGCAUAUUGAGCAGGCCGAAACGCUCAUGAUCACUGUUGGACAACUCCUCGAUAUCGAGCCCAUGUCUCCGACUAGAGAGGAGGAAAUAAAACAGAAAUAUGUCCGGGGCCAACCUUUGGUCGAGCCAGACGAGGUCAAGAACCACCCAACGAGAAUGUAUGAAUUGCAUCAAUGGUACAUGGACAUUACCAAGAUUUCCAAUUGAGAGUCCCUCAUGGUGAAUGUCAAGAAGGAUCAUUACUACCAUGAGAAAGCUGUGACCGUUGAGUAUUCAGAACUAUUUCAGCUAUACAAUCAAGACGCACUCGACAAAUCUAUCGUCGGUUGCUAUUCUCUGUAAGUGAUUUCUUUCUGUAAUUUAAGUCUCAAGCUAGCUGUAGUGAUCAUUUUGAUCAAUCAUUACCUGUAAUUAUCCUUACUAUAUUCUUUUUUGUGGUAUUAUGCAGGAUGAAGACUUAUGAAAUGAAAAAAGGUGGACGCUAUGGCAUUGGGUUCGUUGAACCAAAUACCAUUAAUGAAUACACAUGGAAAUUAGAUUCAUAUUACGAAAAAAGUGUAGAGGAAAGCAUGCUAGAGUUCUUCAAGUGCCUCAAAUACAAUGAAGAUAUACUACUUUCUUACAACUUCGAGUGAGUCACACUGUCUUGUACUACAAAUUCUGUUUUUGCCUACUAGCUAGCUACAUGUUUUUGCUUAUAUAUGCCCGCUUAAUUAAGACAUGCAAAUGUACUAGAUCAUUAAAGUUGAUGAAGGAACAGUUGAAGUACUAUACUCACUACUUAAGAAAGCAAGUGACUACACCAUCGUGAAGGGGAUAGUCAACAGGUAAUUUCAAUCAUUAUUAACUAUAUCUUGGCCUAUUUAAUUAGUUCGUCAUUUCCUGAUAACAACGAUUUAAUAACCCAUUUAUUCAUUUUCUUUGUCGGCGGGCAGGGCUUGGGCGAAGUUCAUCAGGGCUACUCCAGGCCCAUGGAAACAAAAUCUGAAAUGGUAUCGACCCCAGGUAAGUAAUUAAGUAGUACUAGCUAGCUGCCAUCUCUUUAAUUAUCAUGCUUGAUUAAUUAUUAUCUGAUCAAACUCCAUUCUCGUAAAGGCCCUGAAGCAGGCGCCGGGGAAUAAUCUGUGUGUAUACUACAUUUGCGAGAACAUUCGCAUGAUGGCCUUCGAAAGGAGCAGAUCUCAAAGACAGGAGUGGGUACGUUUGUCAGAACACUAUUCACAAUUUUUACACCAUUAUCGAUAUCUAGUCACACAACUAAUACACAUGCAUAUUGAUCUCCUUCUUAACAGUUCAAAGAGGUGCGGGAGAAGCUCCUAACAGAGGACCGCAUAGAAGCAAUUCAAAAGGAAAUAGCCGGAUUUUUGCUCGACCAGGUCAUAGAUCCCAAAGGAGAAUACUAUUGCCCGCUACCGCCCCCAUGAACCACUUCCAAUUGUUAUCAUGCUCCGAAGGCUCCAAUUAGGCUAAUGCCACUGGCUCCGAAGGCGCCAAUUAGGAAAAAUUGUAUAUAUAUAUAUAUAUAUAUAUAUAUAAUGAUCGGUUCUACUAGAAAUUCUAUUUAUAUAUAUGCAUAACGUGUACAAUAUGUAGUAUCGUAAAAUACCAGCAAACGAAAAAGAAUUAAAUGGAAAACACAAAAUUAAAUAAAAAAGAAAUCAUAAACCCAACCCCCCCAACCUUUUAAUACCGGUUGGUGACACCAACCGGUGCUAAAGGGCUCCCUGCCCCCGAAGCUGGCUCGUGCCACGUGGUUGCCCUUUAGCACCGGUUCGUGCUGAAUCGGUACUAAAGGGGGGGGGGCUUUAGUGCCUACACUUUAGCGCCGGUUACCAAACCGGCACUAAAGGGCCUUACGAACCGGUGCUAUUGCCCGGUUCUGCACUAGUGUAUCACCAUCAUAUUUAUAUAGCAGCCAUAUAUCGGGGUAUAUAUUUUCCAUCAAUUUUCGACCCAUGAUGAAAAGUUACCAUAGUAUUUACCGGGGUGCGUUAUCAUAACUUUUCCCUGCCUCAAAAUUACAGUUGUAUUUUUGUGUGUAAAAUUACCGCAUAAAAAUCCUCAGCAUUAAUGCAAAAGUAGCUCUUUAAAAAAAUCUCCACUUAUAGUCCUGAAGAAAAAGGGCAUGGUUCGGUGGGAAAGUAGAAAAAAAUGGGUUGUUACGCUAGUACAAAAAAUAUUGUAGCUCAUAUCAAAUCAAAACAUGGAGGUCCUCCAGAUGCUUACAUAGCCGAUUAUUUAAGAGAUCAAAUCCUCCAAUAUCAAAGGUUUGACUAGUACAGGCUCCUCUUUUUGGCGAAAUUUGCCACGAUUACGAUUUAAUGCAGCAAAAUCAGUGCCGCCAGAUUGUAAUCAAUCACCAUUUAAUGCUACGAAAAUACAACAGCGAGAUCCGAUUGCCAUAUAAUUGAGCAAAAUCUGUCACGAUUUAGGUGGUGUUUGGUUCUCUAGUUCUAAGACUUUUUUUAGUCCCAACUAAAAAGACUCUAGUCCAUAAAAAGUCCCCGCCCUGUUUGUUUCCAGAGACUAAAAAGUCCCUAGUCCCUUCCUAGAGGUUAUUAAAUGACCAUGUUGCUCCUAGUAUAUAGAAAAGUAACAAUCAAACAACACCAUGGGGUGACGGGCCAAUAGGUGCAUGGAGAGGCAUUGUUGGAAAAGUCCCAAAAGACUCUCCUUGAGAGUCUUCUUCAUUUAAUCCCAAAUGUCUAGUUUAGUCCCUAAAAAGUCUCUCCCGUUUGGUAAAAAGGUCUCUAAGAGGGACUUUUUCUAGUCCCUACACAAAAAAGUCCCUGGAAACAAACACCCCCUUAAUAUCAGUGAAAUUAGUGCCGUGAGAUCGGGAUCAGACGAAGAUCGGAUUGUUCGGAUUUGUUGCUAAAAUCCAUACGUUCGGACCUUUUAGCUUUUCCGUUAAAUCAUACUCCCUCUAUUCUUUGAUAUAAGGUGUAUAGAUUUUUCAGAAAAAAUUCGAAAUAUAAGAUGUAUUGUGUUGCACCACUCGUUUGGAUAUUUUUUUAGAAAUUUGAUUACAUUUUAUUAUAUUAUAUCAGGCAAGCUCAUCUAUUUUCUCAUGUCAAUUAGUCAGGUGUAAUCUUAGCCAAAACUUGUGAAAUUUUUCCUCCAUGUGCGUUUUUUAAUUUCCGUGCCAAAAACUAUACGCCCUAUAUUUAGAAACAAAGAAAGUAUAGUGUUGCAACACAAGUGUGAACAUUUGCUCAACAAAAAAAAGUUGUCCUUGAUGUACACAGGGUUGCUGUUGUACUAUCUCAGUUACCGAGCAAGGCAAACUCAAACGCACCUAGAAUUUUCCAUCAGCAGCUAUAAGGAGAAACGUGAGACAAGAUAAGAUAUUUUCAAAGCACAAACGUUGUGCAUAAGUUGCCUGCCGAAGUGCCGAGCCCUCCCAGUCCUAUAUAAGAACCCCCAUGGCCGAUGAGGAGAGGAAGUGAGGUGCGGCCAGAAGAAACUUCGCUCAGAGUUGUUCGCUCAUGUUUGUCGUUCUAACCAAGUAACCAUGGCCACCACUGUGGCGAGACUCCUGCUCGUGGUGACCAUGGUUUUCCUCCUCGCCACGCCCAUGGCGAGUGUCGGCAACAUCACAGUGUCGUUCGCCUCGGAGGAGGUCACGUCGGAGGAGGCCCUCCUCUCUCUGUACGAGCGGUGGGCGCAGCACUUCGGGAAGAUUCUCCCAAGAGGAGGAGCACGCGGCAGCACCCGCUUCGCCGUCUUCGCGCAGAGUGUCCGGCUCGCGCACCAGCGCGGCCCGGGCAAACUGAAGCUCAACGAGUUCGCUGACACCGCCCUCAGCAAUGACUACGGCAGCCGCUGCUACAUUCCGAUGGCGCAAGCCAUCGUCCCGGAGGGCCAGCGGAGAAAAUACCCAGAUCCGCCGGCGUCCGUGGACUGGCGCACCGCGGGCGCCGUGACGCCGGUGAGGGAUCAAGGGACGCACUGUGGAAGCUGCUGGGCUUUUGCAACCGCAUCAGCCAUCGAGGGCCUUUACAAGAUCGAGCACGGGGACCUGAUCCCGCUAUCGCCCCAGCAGCUCGUCGACUGCGACGGCAGCAACAGGCACUGUAGAGGCGGCACCCCGGCCAAGGCAUUCCAAACCAUUAAGCUUGGUGAUGGCAUCGCGCGAUGGGCGGACUAUCCGUACAAAAGUGUUAUGGGCUGGUGCUACCCGGCCCGCAAAGGCGUGGGCAUCAGGGGCUGGGAGCGUGUGGAGCCACGGGACGAGAUUGCGCUCAUGUGGGCGGUGUUCAAGCGCCCCGUCACGGUAGGGGUUGACGCCAACAGCACGGCCUUUAUACAAUACCGCGGUGGCCUAUUCGACGGGCCCUGCAAUACCACUCUCGGACACGCCAUGACCCUGGUUGGGUAUGGAACUACCGGACACAUCGACCCUUACGGCAAGCCGGAGGGAGUCGACUUUUGGCUCCUAAAAAAUACCUGGUCCACGGCGUGGGG
rnacentral:lncRNA from 1 species